rnacentral:lncRNA from 1 species
GCCUAGCUCUCCACUAGAGAUUGGGCAAGGAGAUUUCUAUGGGAGAAAUUUCUGAAUGCCUUCUCUAGUGGAGAGCUAGGCCUUAAAUAGGCAGAGAAUUACAUCAUGUGUAAUAGAUUUAAUACAAGUGGACGGCUAAGAUGUUGCCGACAAAAGUAGAUGGCUGCUUUUUGAAAAGCAGAUGCUUUACUUUUUGAACAGUAAUGUCUGUCUGGAAUAUUAUUUGCUUUUGUCCUUGAGGGGGACAGCUGGAUUCCUUUUAGGAAUAGUAACUUGCCUUUUCAAGAGGUAAUUCCGGCCCUUUGGACCUCUAUCUCUUGGAAAGGUCAGAUUCCUAUUCUUAAUAGGGAUCGAGGUAGGCCAUAGCGAUCCCUUUGGGAUCUAGCAUAUCGCCAUUGUCACUGCUACUUCCGGUUGAAGCUGCUUCGGCAAUAAGCUGUAGCAAUUCUUCGGUGUUGGCAGUAGUGUCUGGUCCAUCUAAACUGUCCAGGGCUUGUUUCAAUUUUUCCUUUAAAGCUUUCUUUGAAGCGGAAGAAUGAGGAGAAGCCGUCGUGGCAGUUUUUCCCUUGUCGGAAAUUUUGGGAGUGGUUGGCUUAGGCGUCCAACCCUUGAUUUUGAUUUCCUUGGAUAAGUACUUGAUCCUGUGUUGUUCUUCUCUGGAGAAGUUCCAGGUUAUGAUAUAUGAUAUUCUUUUCUUGACGAAGAAUUUGCACAUUUGAAUGUGCUCCGGUAAGGUAGAACAAGCUUCUUUUGCCAAGAAGUCUGGGAAUCGAUUAAGAAACUGUUGAGGAAGAACAUCUUUAGUUCCUCCAAAGCAGGUCCACCAUUCAUAGAACCACCUAGGUAUAGUGGCUUCGAUCAUGGCGGGGCAGUAUUUUACAAACCACGUAUGUCCUGGGCGAACAUAAAUGAAAUUAAACCAUGCUGCUCUAUAAUCAUGCCAAUUAUAGGUCUGGGGCCGGUGAGGCAUAGAUAGAGCAAUAGGAGUAUGUAAGUGAUCAACAAACCAAUUGAAAGGAGUCAAUAUCCUUUUUAUGGUGAAUUUUGAGUAACUAAUAUAAUCUGGAUUGUUGCUAUCCAGUGAAUGUUCUACUUCAAUCGAAUCUGUAUCGACCAAAAUAGCUUCAUAAUAUCUUCUAGUUUUUAGUGGAUCUUCAGUGUCCACAAAGUUGUUAUUAGUGUAUACAGGCUUGAUUAGCUGAUUGAUAGGAUAUCCUUCGUAAGCCUUGUCGAGGGCAAUAAUAGGCAUUACCGUGGAAAUAACGAACUUGAAUUCCUCUUUCGUAGGAGAGGCAGGAGUUACUUUAGCUGCAGUAGGAGUUACUGCUUGAGCGAAGGUCUCUGGGGCCUUCAUAGCAUAACUUUGCUUAGUCUGGAUAGAGGAAGAGCUUGCUGCCGAUGAUCCUUUGUCCAGGGGCAAAUUCGUCUUUAAAUCAACCAAUUUCGUCGGCAUUGGCGGAGAUAAUUUAGGGAAUUGUACUUCUGUCAGGGCAGAGUAUCUGUUGAGAGUUUCUGUCUUGAUAGCAGGCCUCUGCGGGACUGUAGGUCGUAACGGAUUUGAGGCUGGUGAUGGUGAGUCGAAUGGUCUAGCCAUUCGUUGUUGCUCCGUUUUGGGGCUACUGCCCGAGAGUAUAGGUCUCAUGGCCCUGUAGAAAUUCUCUUGUUAGAAAAUCGGGGAGGGAGUUAGUUUCUCCUUUAAUAAAUUCAAUUUGGAAAUCAAAGCUAGAUAGGAGAGCUUGCCAUCUAGCAAAUAUUUGUUUUGAAACGAGAUUUUUAACAUCCUUUUGUAAAAUCUCUUUAGCUGAUUUGCAAUCGACUCUGAGAAGAAAUUCCUUAUUAAUAAGGUCAUCUUGAAACUUUGUGAUACAUAGCACUAUAGAUAAAACUUCUUUUUUGACAGUGCUGUAAUUCUUUUGGGUGGAAUUCCAGACUCCUGAGGUGAAUCGAACUAAUUGUUCUGAGGAAGUACUGUCUACCCUUUGCUUCAGGAUACCGCCAUAUCCUUUAUCUGAAGCAUCGGUUUCUACAAUCAUAUAGGCAUCAGGAUUGGGGAUACCUAGACAUGGGAGAUUUUUUACUAAAGAUUUAAUCUUGAUGACUGCUUGGGUUUGGCUGGAGCUCCAAGGAACUGGGUUUUUCUUAAGGCGCUGAUAGAGAGGUUCGCAGACCUGCCUAAUAUUGGGGAUAAAAUCAGCAACAUAAUUGAGGCUUCCUAAGAACCUUUGGAGUUGUGUUUUAUCAAUAAUCUCAUCAGGAAAUUUGUUAGAGAAUUCUAUGGCUCUGCAAAUAGGCUUCUGGCUACCCUGAUGUAAAUCAUGUCCUAAGAAGCGAAUAGAUGUUUGAAAAAGUUUCAUCUUCUUAGCACUAAUGACUAAUCCAUUUAUUUUCACAAUCUUAAAGAAAGUAUUAAGAUGUUUAAAAUGAGAAUCGAUAUUCUCAGAAAAGAUUAACACAUCAUCAAUAUAAACAAUUGACAUAUAAGAAAAUUCAUUGAAAAUAUUGUUCAUGAUAUUCUGGAAUUCUGAGGGAGCAUUUUUAAGCCCAAAGGGUAAGACAUUCCAUUCGUAGUGCCCAAAAGGGACAUUGAAGGCAGUCUUAUAUCUAUCUUUUUCAGCAAUCUGAAUUUGCCAGAAUCCUGACUUCAUAUCAAAUUUGCUAUAAAGAUUGGCUUUAUAGGUUCUUUUAAGAAGAUCCCUUUUAUUAGGGAUUGGGUGCCUGAUCCAUUGGAGGACAGCGUUAAGGGGCUUAUAAUUUAUUACAAGCCGAGGAGUCCCUCUUUCCUUUUCGGCGCUAUUAUUUACAUAAAAUGCCGAGCAGCUCCAGGGGGAGUGAGAGGGUCUGAUGAUACCCUUUUCAAGGAGAUGGGUGAUUUCUGUUUUACAGAUUUCCAUUAUUUCGUGAUUCAUUUGGAUCGGUCUGGCUUUGGUAGGGAUAUUUUUUUCAUUGAAGCCAGAGAUGUAGGGAAGUUCUACGAGAUGUUUCUUGCGUUCCCAAAAAGCAUUUGGCAAUUCGGAGCAAAUCUCAUUUUCGAAUUUCGCUUGGAGAGAAGAGAUCUUACUAAUCAUCUCCGGGGUUUUUAAAGUUUGCUCAAUACGUUUGAGCUGAACAUCGUGUUGCAAAAAAUGAAGAUGGGAGGAUAGACGAUUGAUUUUAAAAACAGUUUCGUCUUUGAUUCGUUGCUGCUCGUUAGAAGAGAGUGGACGAAGUAAAGGAAAGAAUAAUUCGGUAUCUAAGAGAGUGGUACGAAUUCCAUCGUAGUUACUCUGAUAGGGCCGGAUUUGGUUGAUGAAGGGGAUUCCUAGAAUGAUAUCUUCAGUGAUAUCUUCAGUAAUAACAAAGUCAUUAACAAGGCAAACGCCAUUAUUGCAGACAUGAGCUUUGCGAAGUUGAUAANNNNNNNNNNNNNNNNNNNNNNNNNNNNNNNNNNNNNNNNNNNNNNNNNNNNNNNNNNNNNNNNNNNNNNNNNNNNNNNNNNNNNNNNNNNNNNNNNNNNNNNNNNNNNNNNNNNNNNNNNNNNNNNNNNNNNNNNNNNNNNNNNNNNNNNNNNNNNNNNNNNNNNNNNNNNNNNNNNNNNNNNNNNNNNNNNNNNNNNNNNNNNNNNNNNNNNNNNNNNNNNNNNNNNNNNNNNNNNNNNNNNNNNNNNNNNNNNNNNNNNNNNNNNNNNNNNNNNNNNNNNNNNNNNNNNNNNNNNNNNNNNNNNNNNNNNNNNNNNNNNNNNNNNNNNNNNNNNNNNNNNNNNNNNNNNNNNNNNNNNNNNNNNNNNNNNNNNNNNNNNNNNNNNNNNNNNNNNNNNNNNNNNNNNNNNNNNNNNNNNNNNNNNNNNNNNNNNNNNNNNNNNNNNNNNNNNNNNNNNNNNNNNNNNNNNNNNNNNNNNNNNNNNNNNNNNNNNNNNNNNNNNNNNNNNNNNNNNNNNNNNNNNNNNNNNNNNNNNNNNNNNNNNNNNNNNNNNNNNNNNNNNNNNNNNNNNNNNNNNNNNNNNNNNNNNNNNNNNNNNNNNNNNNNNNNNNNNNNNNNNNNNNNNNNNNNNNNNNNNNNNNNNNNNNNNNNNNNNNNNNNNNNNNNNNNNNNNNNNNNNNNNNNNNNNNNNNNNNNNNNNNNNNNNNNNNNNNNNNNNNNNNNNNNNNNNNNNNNNNNNNNNNNNNNNNNNNNNNNNNNNNNNNNNNNNNNNNNNNNNNNNNNNNNNNNNNNNNNNNNNNNNNNNNNNNNNNNNNNNNNNNNNNNNNNNNNNNNNNNNNNNNNNNNNNNNNNNNNNNNNNNNNNNNNNNNNNNNNNNNNNNNNNNNNNNNNNNNNNNNNNNNNNNNNNNNNNNNNNNNNNNNNNNNNNNNNNNNNNNNNNNNNNNNNNNNNNNNNNNNNNNNNNNNNNNNNNNNNNNNNNNNNNNNNNNNNNNNNNNNNNNNNNNNNNNNNNNNNNNNNNNNNNNNNNNNNNNNNNNNNNNNNNNNNNNNNNNNNNNNNNNNNNNNNNNNNNNNNNNNNNNNNNNNNNNNNNNNNNNNNNNNNNNNNNNNNNNNNNNNNNNNNNNNNNNNNNNNNNNNNNNNNNNNNNNNNNNNNNNNNNNNNNNNNNNNNNNNNNNNNNNNNNNNNNNNNNNNNNNNNNNNNNNNNNNNNNNNNNNNNNNNNNNNNNNNNNNNNNNNNNNNNNNNNNNNNNNNNNNNNNNNNNNNNNNNNNNNNNNNNNNNNNNNNNNNNNNNNNNNNNNNNNNNNNNNNNNNNNNNNNNNNNNNNNNNNNNNNNNNNNNNNNNNNNNNNNNNNNNNNNNNNNNNNNNNNNNNNNNNNNNNNNNNNNNNNNNNNNNNNNNNNNNNNNNNNNNNNNNNNNNNNNNNNNNNNNNNNNNNNNNNNNNNNNNNNNNNNNNNNNNNNNNNNNNNNNNNNNNNNNNNNNNNNNNNNNNNNNNNNNNNNNNNNNNNNNNNNNNNNNNNNNNNNNNNNNNNNNNNNNNNNNNNNNNNNNNNNNNNNNNNNNNNNNNNNNNNNNNNNNNNNNNNNNNNNNNNNNNNNNNNNNNNNNNNNNNNNNNNNNNNNNNNNNNNNNNNNNNNNNNNNNNNNNNNNNNNNNNNNNNNNNNNNNNNNNNNNNNNNNNNNNNNNNNNNNNNNNNNNNNNNNNNNNNNNNNNNNNNNNNNNNNNNNNNNNNNNNNNNNNNNNNNNNNNNNNNNNNNNNNNNNNNNNNNNNNNNNNNNNNNNNNNNNNNNNNNNNNNNNNNNNNNNNNNNNNNNNNNNNNNNNNNNNNNNNNNNNNNNNNNNNNNNNNNNNNNNNNNNNNNNNNNNNNNNNNNNNNNNNNNNNNNNNNNNNNNNNNNNNNNNNNNNNNNNNNNNNNNNNNNNNNNNNNNNNNNNNNNNNNNNNNNNNNNNNNNNNNNNNNNNNNNNNNNNNNNNNNNNNNNNNNNNNNNNNNNNNNNNNNNNNNNNNNNNNNNNNNNNNNNNNNNNNNNNNNNNNNNNNNNNNNNNNNNNNNNNNNNNNNNNNNNNNNNNNNNNNNNNNNNNNNNNNNNNNNNNNNNNNNNNNNNNNNNNNNNNNNNNNNNNNNNNNNNNNNNNNNNNNNNNNNNNNNNNNNNNNNNNNNNNNNNNNNNNNNNNNNNNNNNNNNNNNNNNNNNNNNNNNNNNNNNNNNNNNNNNNNNNNNNNNNNNNNNNNNNNNNNNNNNNNNNNNNNNNNNNNNNNNNNNNNNNNNNNUUAAUCAUACCGGUGAAACCCGAGACAAUCAUGGUGGCGGCACCUUUGUCAGAGGAACCUUUGAUUUUGUAGGCAGUAAUAGCCACAGCAAUUUCAUGGAGCUUAUUGUAGAUCUGGUGUUCUGCCAGACCAUCAAUAUUCCAUUCAGUUAUUCCUCGUCCAUCAUGACUACAUGUAGAGAGGUAAGGAUUUUCUUCAAACUGGACGUCAGGGGGAGGAGGGUUUCGAUAAUAAUUUUUUCGAGUGGAAAACCGUUCGUUGGACAGUUUGGAAAGGGAGUUUUUGGAAGAGUCUUUCGAGCUAGAAGGCUCCUGAGAUAUUUUGACCUUGGCGAGUUUGGAGUUGAUUUUCUCCAAAAUCUGUUCAGAUAUUUUGAAAUCCUCAUUCAAAUCUGGAAAUUUAUCUUUGUGAAACUCGGGGAGUUUAAAGAUAGGAUUUGAAAGAGGCGUCGAGCUGGGAGUGCUUUUAGCUGGUAAAGGAGCAGAAAGGGGAGAACUCUUGGUUUCUUCGAUCUGCUGGGAAAUGGUGUGCAGAACUUGAUUUGUAUAAUUGUUUUGUUCAAUUAUUCGAUCAAGAUCUCGACAUUGAGGCGUCAUAGUGCCUCGUUCAAAUUUAGUCUUGAACGGAGAAGCUUUUAUGACUUCGUUUGAGUAGGAAAUAUUGAGUCCUUCAAGAGGAGGAGUUGUGGAUUCUACCACCGUAUUUCUUUGGGUGUACCAUUUUGUAACGAUAACAUUGAGGGAUUCAGUUUGGUUUUCUAUUCUUCCAGUUUUUUCAAACCAGAAGAAGAAUUCCAAAUCACAUCGGAGUCUUUUCAUGUCGGCUAUCCAUAGUCGACCAAACUCCUUUUGUUCUUCGAUGGAAUAGGUAUUUCCGUACCAUUUCCUUUUGAGAGCGUCUUGGGGGCGAUUCCAUAAAACCUUUAAGGCCUGAAGAUCCNNNNNNNNNNNNNNNNNNNNNNNNNNNNNNNNNNNNNNNNNNNNNNNNNNNNNNNNNNNNNNNNNNNNNNNNNNNNNNNNNNNNNNNNNNNNNNNNNNNNNNNNNNNNNNNNNNNNNNNNNNNNNNNNNNNNNNNNNNNNNNNNNNNNNNNNNNNNNNNNNNNNNNNNNNNNNNNNNNNNNNNNNNNNNNNNNNNNNNNNNNNNNNNNNNNNNNNNNNNNNNNNNNNNNNNNNNNNNNNNNNNNNNNNNNNNNNNNNNNNNNNNNNNNNNNNNNNNNNNNNNNNNNNNNNNNNNNNNNNNNNNNNNNNNNNNNNNNNNNNNNNNNNNNNNNNNNNNNNNNNNNNNNNNNNNNNNNNNNNNNNNNNNNNNNNNNNNNNNNNNNNNNNNNNNNNNNNNNNNNNNNNNNNNNNNNNNNNNNNNNNNNNNNNNNNNNNNNNNNNNNNNNNNNNNNNNNNNNNNNNNNNNNNNNNNNNNNNNNNNNNNNNNNNNNNNNNNNNNNNNNNNNNNNNNNNNNNNNNNNNNNNNNNNNNNNNNNNNNNNNNNNNNNNNNNNNNNNNNNNNNNNNNNNNNNNNNNNNNNNNNNNNNNNNNNNNNNNNNNNNNNNNNNNNNNNNNNNNNNNNNNNNNNNNNNNNNNNNNNNNNNNNNNNNNNNNNNNNNNNNNNNNNNNNNNNNNNNNNNNNNNNNNNNNNNNNNNNNNNNNNNNNNNNNNNNNNNNNNNNNNNNNNNNNNNNNNNNNNNNNNNNNNNNNNNNNNNNNNNNNNNNNNNNNNNNNNNNNNNNNNNNNNNNNNNNNNNNNNNNNNNNNNNNNNNNNNNNNNNNNNNNNNNNNNNNNNNNNNNNNNNNNNNNNNNNNNNNNNNNNNNNNNNNNNNNNNNNNNNNNNNNNNNNNNNNNNNNNNNNNNNNNNNNNNNNNNNNNNNNNNNNNNNNNNNNNNNNNNNNNNNNNNNNNNNNNNNNNNNNNNNNNNNNNNNNNNNNNNNNNNNNNNNNNNNNNNNNNNNNNNNNNNNNNNNNNNNNNNNNNNNNNNNNNNUUCAAAAGACGAGCAUCUCUUAGGAUAGCACAGACAGGUAUAUCUAAACCUUGACGGAAGAGAGGUUUAAUAGCAACUUGUACUAAACCGACAUGCAGAUAAUUAAACUGAUGUUUAAAUCGGUUUAUAUCUAAUUCAUUAAACAGUUGAAUAAUUUCAAAAGAAUUAUUUAUGGCAACAGUAGACUCAGAAGUCUUAAUAUUAUGUUUUUUCAAAAAACUAAAUUUUCCUAUUUGAUAAAUAGUACUGAAAGAUUCUUCUGGAAUACUCCAGUUUUGAAGAUCAUUUUCUAUAGUAGCAAUCGGAGUUGCUUGAGAAGAAAGGUUAACAGUAUUUUUAAUGUGACUGUUCAUCAUUNNNNNNNNNNNNNNNNNNNNNNNNNNNNNNNNNNNNNNNNNNNNNNNNNNNNNNNNNNNNNNNNNNNNNNNNNNNNNNNNNNNNNNNNNNNNNNNNNNNNNNNNNNNNNNNNNNNNNNNNNNNNNNNNNNNNNNNNNNNNNNNNNNNNNNNNNNNNNNNNNNNNNNNNNNNNNNNNNNNNNNNAGUGACGGGACCACCAAUAAGGUCUAACGCGCUUCUCUCUAAGCUUUACGACCUACUUUCAGGCUGACCAACGUCUUCACCGGAGAUUAAUCGGUUCUGUUAAACACUUAAACAGUAACUAGAUACCCCAUACUUGCAUUAAAACCCCAUUAUAAGACAAGAUAUAAUAACAUAAUUAAAGUUUAAGAUACAGCAUACCGGAGUAAAAUAAUAUGUUCUUAUAUAAACAUAAGUUUGUUCAUGCUCUAGACAGAUUAUACGUUUAGCUGCUCAUGCCAAGCGUAUAACCUGCCAACAUGGCUUUCUAGAAAUAAAAGGUGAACUGGGUACCUCUGCCUGGAUAAUAGAAAAUAGAACACCAUGCAAUCUGACCAACUCUCUGAUGUAGAAUUUGGCAUAAUCCUUGGCUGAAUAAGAGGUAUGAAAUGGGAGGAAAUAAGAUGAUUUGGUCAUCCUAUCUACAAUGACCCAAACUGAAUCAUGCUAAUGACGAGUUUGAGGCAAACGCGUCAUAAAGUCCAUGUUCACUUCUUCCUACUUCCAAGUAGGAAUACUGAACUCCUGUAUAGGUCUACUAGGAUUCUGAUACUCUAUCUUAAGCUUCCGACAUGUAGAGCACUUAGCCACAAACUCUGUAAUAUCUCUCUUUAUUCCACUCUACCAAUAGAUUUCCUAUAAGUCCCGAUACAUCUUUGUGGCCCCUGGAUGAAUAGAGUCGCGUGCACCAUACGCUUCUACAAGAAUUCACUGCCUUAAGUCAUCUACAGCUUGAACAUACAGACGACCCUGACACCACUGAACACCAUCUCCCCCUUGGGAGAAAACCUCCACCAUCUGAUCCUUAACUUUCUCUUUCAACUUGACUAAACUGGGAUCUCUAUCUUGCUUUUCUUUUACCUCAGAAAAUGGAGAUGAUUCUGCACUAAUCUGAACCCAUAUAUCACCCACCUCUUUAUCUACUAAAUGAACACCUAGUCUGGCAAGAUGAUGGAUUUGCUAGGCAAGAUGAUGGAUUUGCUAAGCUAUCUUCUUCUUACUGUCCUUAACAUGAGCAACACUAACCAUAGACAGUCUUCUGAGAGGAUAGGCCACUAUAUUAGCCUUGCCCGGAUGAUAAAGGACACUCAUGUCAUAAUCUUUCAAGAGCUCUAACCACCUUCUCUGACAAAGAUUGAGAUCUUUUUAAGAAAAGACAUACUGAAGGAUCUUAUGAUCUGUGAACACAUCUACAUAAACUCCGUAUAGAUAAUGCCUCCAAAUUUUUAAGGCAAAUAUUAUGGCUACUAACUCAAGAUCAUGAGUAGGAUAAUUCUUCUCAUAGGGUUUAAGCUGUUUGGAGGCGUAGGCUAUUACCUUACCAUGCUGCAUGAGGACAUAACACAAACCUACUUUGGAUGCAUCACAGUACACUACAAACCCAUCUGGACUAUCUGGAAAAGCUAAGACUACGGCUAAGUUGAGUCGAGUCUCAACUACUGAAAGCUCUUCUCGCAAGGAUCUGACCAUUGAAACUUGACUCUCUUCUGAGUCAAUCUGGACAUAGGGGAUGCAAUAGAAGAAAAUACCUUCAUAAACUGCCUGUAAUAGCAAGCCAAACCAAAGAAACUCCCUAUAUCUGAUAGAGAGAUAGGUAUAGCCCAUUUUCUUACCACUUUGGUCUUUUGAGGAUCUACUCUAAUCCCAUCAUAAAAAAUUAUAUGGCUAAGGAAUGCUACUGACCUUAGCCAAAAUUUGCAUGUACUGAAUUUGAUGAACAACUAUUGAUUUCUGAGAAUCCAAAGCACUCACUGUGGGAAUAGACCAGAAUAUCACCUAUAAAGUCUAUCAUGAACAUGUCCGAGUACUUCUUGAACACACGGUUUAUCAAGUCCAUGAAAGAUGUUGGGGAAUUGGUAAGACCAAAGGACAUGACUAGGAAUUUGAAUUGACCAUACUAAGUAUAGAAGGCUAUUUUUUGAAUGUCACAUUCUCUGACUUUGAGCUGAUGAUAGCCGGAUCUGAGGUCUAUCUUAGAGAAAUAACUGGCACCCUAAAGUUGGUCCAACAAGUCAUUGAUUCUGGAAAGUGGAUACUUGUUCUUGACCGUGACUUUAUUAAGUUGAUGAUAAUCUAUACACAUUCUAAGAGAACCGUCUUUCUUGCAUACGAAUAAGAUUUGUUCACCCCACGGGGACACACUAGGUCUGAUAAAUCCCUUAUCUAAGAGAUCCUUCAACUGUUCUUUCAGUUCUUUGAGUUAUGCUGGUGCCGUUAUGUAUGACAGAAUAGAUAUAGGCUGAGUAUCUUGAAGAAGAUCAAUACCGAAGUCUAUUUCCCUUUUGGGAGGAAUCCCUCGAAGAUCUUUGGGAAAGACAACUAAAUAUUUACUCACGACUGGGACUGUUUCAAGACUGGGAGCUUUGAAACUAGAGUCCUUAACUCAAAUAAGAUGAUAGACACAUCCUUUAGAUAUCAUUUUCCUUGCUCUAGGGUAGGAAAUAAGUUGACCGCUGAAAGCAGAUACGCUUCCCUACCACUCUAGGAUGAGUUUAUUCAAAAACUGGAACUGGACUAUUCUAUUUCUGCAGUCGACUAUGGCAUAGUAGGAAUGAAGCCAAUCCAUGCCGAGAAUGAAAUCAAAAUCAGUCAUCUCUAAUUUAACUAAGUCUGCUGAAGUGACUUUCUAAAAUAUCAUAACUGGGCAGUUCCUGUAUACCCACCGAGCUAUAAUGAUUUUACCCACUGGGGUAGAGACUAAAAAGGGCUCUACUAGAAUUUUAGGACUGAUUCAAAAAUUAACUACAAUAUAAAGAGUGACAAAAGACAAGAAAACGCCUGUAUCUAGCAUAGCAUAAACAUGCGUAUGAAAAAUCUAUAAUGUACCAGUAACCACAUAAGGAGAAUUUUCUUGAUCUUGCUGGGACUGGAGAGCAUAGAAUCUAUUUGGGCAUUGGCUACUAGUAGCAUUGGAAGUGGCACCCUGCUGAGUUGGGCGACCAGACUGAACUGAGGAAUGAUUCUGCUGACCCUGAUAACCUGACUGGGGACAAUCUCUGACUCUGUGGCCUGGCUUGCCACAUCCGAAAUAGAAAUCACUACCAGCUCUCCAAGCACCCUUGUGGUUCUUACCAUAAUUCUGACAAAGAGGAUUAGUUCGGGCAUUGCUGACACUACCCUGAGACUUAGAGCCUGGCACCCUAUCUCUAUUUCUAUCCCUGACAUAGGAUAUGGAGCACUAGCUGACAAAGAAGCUGGAACAGAUAUCUUAAGAAGAAAUUGAGAACGAUUUCCUCCUUCUGAUUUAGGUUGAGCAAACUUGAAACUACCUGUCUUUGCUCUCUUAUUCUGCUCUCCCCCAUCUUAAUCUUUUGAUCUUCUAUAUUCCAAUCAUAAGUCAUAAGUCUAGCUAAAGUGAUGUCACUAUUCAACAUCGCAGACCUACACUCAUUGACCAUACUAUUAUUCACCCCAGAAACAAACUCACUCAUCUUGGCCCUACUGUCUGCAACCACAUGAGGGGCAUAUCUGGCCAAUUGAGUAAAAUUAAGAGAAUACUCUUUCACCAUCAUGUUGCCCUGCCUGAGGUUGAUGAAUUCUAAGACCUUAGCCUCUCUCAGCUCUAGGGGAAAGAACCUCUCUAAAAAUAUGGUGACAAACUUCUCCCACUCUAUAGGUUCUGCAUCAAUUGACCUCUUUGACUUUCACUACUUAUACCAGGUGCGAGCAAUAUCCUGAAACUUAUAUGUAGCUAGCUAUAAACUCUAAACAGCUGACACCCCCAAUAUGUCAGUAACUUUCUGAACCUGAUCGAUAAAUUCCUGAGGGUCCUCAUCUGAAUUAGACCAAAGAAAGGAUGAAGGAUUCAUUCGAGUGAAUUACUGAAUCCUGGCUGCAAUUAAAUUGGCCACUGGGUUGGCCGGAAUUACAACUGGUCAUUCAUUCUAAGAAGUACUGAAUGAGCAAGAGUAGUGAAUGCAGCUCUUAAAUCUUCAUGAUAAACAUGUUCGCCCAAAGGUUCUUCGGGCUGAGGGGCUGACUUAUUCCUAUUUCUUCUUUUAGUAGGCAUGUUCUAUAGAAGAAAGGGAGAAAUAGAUUAGACUAAGAUAUUUACUUGAGAUUAGGAUCACUGCCACGACAAAAAUAUUGAAAGAAAGGAAACUGUUCCUAAUAUAUCUUAUAGCCUCCUGCACAUAAAUAUGGGGUGCAACACACCCAUGUAUAAGACUCUACUAGAUAUUAAUUUCAUACUUCCUAGGACACUAUUGAACCUGGCUCUGAUACCCAGUUUGUAAUGCCUCAGAUCUGGUACCCAAAAUUCUACACGGUGCUCAUGACCCCGAAGGACCACAAGUUAACCCACGACUGAUAUCUAUGCCUGUAUACUACAUAAUAUACUGUAUGAUUGUGGGGACAUAAAAUAAAAAUCUAUAAGGUUCAAGACUGUAACAUAAAUGAUAAUGAUAGAACAUCUGAAUGGGGUAUGAAAUUCCUAAAACAAAACAAAAAUAGCAUGAUAGUCUGAACUUGAUAGUCUGGAAAUCCUCUAACUGACUGAACUGUCUGAAUAAGGAGUUAAUGGGACAUGUCCCAAACUAACUCCAACUAAUAAAUUACUUAAUGAGAUAAUAAAUAAAUGAUCAUGUCCUUGAAAGAUGAGGACUCACUGCUAACUCUGACUAUUAAGACUGGAAUGCUACUAAUGCUCUGGAGCUCGUACUUUUGAACCUAUGGUAUAAGACACCAUAGCACAAAUGCGUCAAUACUUUGAAUGUACUGGUAUUUAUUUGAGGUAGGAUGAAUACAUGGGGUUUGUAUUUAUGAACAAUACUAGCUAACUGACUAAUAUGAACAUGAGAAUACAUGCAUAAAUACAUAGUAACUAUAUCUGAGAUUGUGAUAACAUGAAUUUAUUGAUAACUAACAUGACCGAUAACUGAGUUCUGAUGGAUGAUAUAACUGAUAACAUGAGUGACUAUAUCUAAAAAUUCUGAAUCUAAUAGAACUAGCUGAGUUCCAUACCAUUCUGAGUUGACUGUAUCUGACAGUCCUGAGUUCUGUAGAACUAUCUGAGUUUUAAUACUGAAACUGAUUGACUGAUCUGACAGUCCUGAUUCUAUAAUUGAAAUUAUAGGAAGUAGUUAUCUGAUCGACAUGCCCCUAAUACACCAUUACGGCUGAGUUGGGGUCCAAUCUAUAACCCUAAUUAGAAGGGUGACAAUACCACAUCACUGCUAAGGACAAGCUGUGAGUGACCCUCAUCAGAUAGUGUCCCCAAAAGAGAAUGGUGGGGCCCUCAUCUGACAAUGCUUAUCCAUCUCAUCAACCCUCAUCUGACAGUGGUGAUAUCUCAACCUAUGCUGGCUACACAGUUUUGGAAUGCAAGGAUGAUUUCUAAGAAUCACACCCUCAUCUAAUUAUGUGUGUUCCCAUCCUUGGGUUCACUCGGUGUUAAUUUCUACUCCGAUCUGAAUUGCAUUGAUCAUGGAUUACUGAACUAAACUGGACUGAAUUAACUAAGUUCCAUUGACUGAUGGAAUAGUAUUGAGAUUACUGUAUUACUGAGCUUUCCUGAGUCACAUAACGGACUGAGUUCUAUAGAUCAUGACUUGACUGAGUAUAUCGUGAAAACAUGACCCGGACUCUAGGCACACAACUAUAUUUUUCAGGUACAAGUGCCCCCAAGACUCGACUGAAGGAAAUUGAGAAGUCAUGAUAUUCUUGAAUACAUGACUAACAUAAAAAGUCCAUAAUAUAAUAAUUAAAGAUAUUUCAUGGGCAUUUGAUUAUCAUAGCUUGGUAAAUGAAUAAGAUACCAUGUAUACAUAGCAUAAUUUCAUAUGGCUAACUCAUGAGCAAUCCGACAAACAAUUUCAAUACAUAAGAAUAACAUGGAAGUCAUUUUGGAUCAAAAUUAACCUAUAGUGUAUAAUUUCUAUCCUCCUAGACGUUUUAUCAAACACCUUGCAUGCACCCUUAGGGCAUAGGCCUAAUCAUCAAAUUGACACAUUAUAAAUAAUUAAAUUUAUGGAUUUCACUCACUUGCUCAUGUAGUUUCAAGAAAAAACACAUAAAUAUUCAAACUUGGGAAUCAUAUAACAAGAUAAACAUGGUUACAACCAACCCACAACAUAUAUAUGAUGAUUCAUAAUUUAAAAUAGGGUUCUUAAGAUUUAUGGAUGAAAGGAAUCUAUAAAUCAACACAACUCAUACCUUAGUUCUUGAUUUAGCAAAGAUUGACAAAGAGACUUUCUUGAAAUUGUGUCCCCAAUUGAAACCCUAGUUUGUUCUUGAGAGAAAAUUGAGAGAAACUAGUAUAUUUUGGGUUAAAAAUAGCUAAAUAUUGUGUUAAAGGGCUUAAAUAGUGGUGAGAAAUUGACACCUUUAAACCCUAGAUGCUUCUUUUAAUUCCAGUGAAAUUUUCCUGAAUUGGACCCCUGGUACGACGCGGCGCUAUCGCGCUGUGUCACUGUAAUUUGACAAUUGGGAAAUUGAGGGAUGGCGCGACGUGGAUCCAUCGCGUUGCCACUUUAUUUCUGACCUGGAAGUUUUGCAUGAUGCGCCACUAUCACGGACCCCUACUGGAAUUUGACAAUUUCCAUUUUCUCCUUUGGUUUGAUGCACCACUGACUAAUAUAGCACUGUUUUAUGAUGGAAACUUGAAAUAGUCAUAACUUCAUAUCCGGUUAUUGGAUUUGGGCAAAUUUUAUAUCGAUGGAAAGCUUAUUGAAUUUCCUAUAUGACAUAAAGUGAAAAUCUUGAAAAUUCCUCAUUCAAUAAACAUCAUUAAAUUUAGAAGCUAACACUUGACAUUCUUGAGACAAAAUUAGUUAGGAAACUUUAGGGUAUUACAUUAGCUACCAUCUAUCUCGAUGAAUUCUGAGUUAUUAAGAUAAAUGAGUUAUGCCGUGACAGUAAAUUAGGCAUUAGUGGGUAACCCAAAAAGUGUUGUAGUAAGUGUAGUUAGAUUUUAUUUGUUGUUUUUGUGAAAUUUAAUGCAUUGUGUAAGUGUAUAGAAAGAUAAAUGUAGGAAAUGAAAGUUGAAUAAGUUGGGGAAUAUCCGAUGGGAGACUUGACAGGCCGUCAAAGGGUUGAUAGACCAUCGCUAUAGUCGUCAAAAGUAAACCAAAAACCUGAACUACUGGAAUAAGACCGAUGGACAACUUAACGAACUGUCGCAUCUCUGACGGACCAUCAAGAAGAUUUCCAUAUCAAGGUAGACUGAAUAUUGUUCUGGUAAGCUGUGGAGAUUAACCCGAUAUACCAUCAGACUCCUAACGAAUCAUCGGGUCGACCAUCAACUUAACCUUAAUUUUGACCGGUCGGGUCGGUGCAAUUUAAUUCUGAAUAAGCCAUCCUUAACCGACCCAAACCAUUUUUAAUGUGAUAAAGAGAAGCGAUUGAGUAUGUUACUAACUUUUUAAAUAUUGAGCCUAUUUAAAUUCCCCUGCAUUCAAAGUACCAAAAAGCAUUCAUAUCCUUUUAAGACUUUUCCUCCUCAUUUUUCUCUCCUAUUUAAACAACUCUCUCUUUCUUUUCUUCACAGUAGAGAUCAAGUCAGAAAUCACUGAUAAAAACUUUAAGUCUUCUUUUGUUCUAAGAUUGCAAAAUUAAAGUAGUGAAGUGUACUUUAGAAAUAAGGUAUGACCACAACCUUACUUUUCUUUUCAAACUGGUGAACAUGAGUUAUGUCAGUUGAUAAUUGUUCAAAGGAAUUUUAUUUUGUUUUUUACUUUGUUGUGAUUCUGAUUCUAAGUCAAACUCUGGUGUACACUAUCCUAGGUGAAAUAUGAGUAAUCCAUGAACCAAAAGUGUCAAGAACUGUGCUUAAACACAAAAUUAAUGCCAUAAUUAUGUGUAGAAUAACUUAAAGUACACCAGGUGUUCGACAAAAUGCCAAAGUAAAUUUGAGGUUUAAAAGUGAGGAAGACAGACAACUUGAUGGACCGUUGGACCCUUGAUGGAUCAUGGAGUAGACCUUUAUAAUAUUAUUGAGUCUGAUGCUUACCGAUUCAGCCGCGAUGGGCAACUCAACGAACCGUCAGAAUCCUGAUGGACUGUCGGGUCGACCAUCACAAGGCUACUUAACAAAAGACUCACGGGUUUGAGGCUUGAUGGUGAGGGCGAUGGACCAUUGCAGUCCUGACAGAUCUUUAGAGGUUUCAUCAAGUCAAGUUUUUACUAUUUAUAUCUGGGUCUGAAUCGCAAACUGAUUAUUUAUUUAUUUUUCAGGUGAUAUGUCAUGAAUAAUUCCCCUAACCAGAGGUGGUGGUAGAACACAAUGGGGAAGAAAAGAACCAGCAAGGAAUAAGGAGUCGCCUACCUUCAACACUCGGCAAUGAGAUAGGGUACCCCCAAUACUCUCCCAGUCUGAGGAGGAGGGUAAAAAUAGUAGUAGUAGUACAAGUUCCAAUCCCAAUAAGAAAAGGGUUGAAACCUCUAACCCUGACCAAGUUGAGGCAUCAGAACAAGAGGAUCCAAAUGUCAUAAGGUGUAAGGACCCGCAAGAACGGAAAGAAGUUUAAUGGAAAAUAGAGGGAGCAUGGGAGAAUUUCCUGGAUGGUUUGGAACCAAUAACAAAUAAACCAAUAAGGAGGCCCAUCCACAAAGAGUAUUAGAUUGUUAUCGCUGAGCUGCAUGAGUACCUAGAGCUAGAGCAGAGAUUUAAUAGAUAUGAGUUAUCUUAAAUAAAAAGGCUGCCCGAGACAUACCAACCGUGUCUUGUUCAUGAGUCCUUUUCCAACUAUCUAGCAUUUCUAGCAAGGAUGUGAAGAUCAUUGACAUGGGAAAUUAGGAUGUGGUUCUGGUGCUGGAGUGAACAUAGAUAUUUCAGGAUGCACGUUAAAAAGAUUCCUAUUUGGUCCUUAGUAUGAGAUACCUGGUGCGAUCCCAUAUAUGGGGCACCAAAUGUUCACAGCAAACCAACAAAGACCCUGGCUGGCCUGAGUACUGAUAGAUGAUAGAAAUACAGCAUGGCUGUAUAACCUUCAUAAUCAGAUAGUUAAGUCGUCCCUAAGUUUUAGGGCAAAAUUCUGGUGGGCAAUUGUAAGGUUGAGAUUGAUGCCAACAGGCAGUGACGCUAACUUAUAGAUUCAGAGAGCGGUAAUAGUUGCUGCCUUAAUUGAGCGACUGAAGGUAGACAUUGGCCACACUAUCGUCGAUGAGUUAUUUGCCCAUGCACAUAAGACAUCCAGUAAUCUACUAUUUCCAUGCCUUACCACGGAGUUGUGCAAAUGGGCAAAUGUACCUUUGAUUAGUAGGGUUGAUAAUGUGGUUCGUACGAGUUGCAGAUAGGAUAUUAAGAAAAGAAAAGAUGACUCAAAGUAUGAAAUGCAAGUCAACAAGCCUCCCGCCUAUUAGACUCAGUCAGAUCCAUCCCUUGCGACUUUGGAUGUUCCCUCAGGUAUGCCAUUUCCUAUCACUAUAUAUGUACCAUUGAAUUUUAUGCUGCCUACCUCUUCUACAGGUUUAACCUCUAUUCUUCCAAUUGGUGGGACUAUAGAUUUUGCAUCCGUCCCGCCUCAAUAUUCUGAGUACAGGCUGACACAGGAGAAUUUUACUAAGUCUAUUAAAGAACACAAGUGGUUUGAGAAGUAGUUAAACACAUAGGCUACACAGUUCAACCCAUUUUUGAUCGUACUAUAGCUGAGGAAAUCUAUUUUUUUAAAUAUUCAAACCAGCAAGGACUAUAUGGAGGAACGUAUCAGGAAAAGGUUGGAUGUGAUGUCCAUUCCAGAUUUUUAUUAGUUCAUGGAAAAAUUCAGGCAAGCACAUGCGAACAUAGCAAAGUUAAAAACACAACCACAGCAGCCCACUUUUGAUCCUACUCUAAUUAUCAGCGAUGAGGAUUAGGGCAUGGUAAACUUGAUAGGUAUGCCACUAAAAAAUAAGGGUAAGCAGGUGGAUGAACAUGAUGAUAGAAAAGCUGUGGUAAGAAAAAGGCGAGAAGCAAUAAAUCCUAAAGAAAGGUAUGAGAGAGACUUGAGGAAAGCUACAAAGAGAUAAACAAAGUUGCGGAUGAAGCCGCAGGAGUGUCAACCAGUUCUUCCCCACCUAGGGGGCCAAUUCCAUACCCGAUUCCUAUUGAUAUACCUCCGAGCUAGGAGGACGUUAAUUUGAGCACCCUUACCACCAUAGGGGUCAACAUUGCUACACCUGAGGCUAAAGAAGCCUCACUAUAUUUGACUGAUGCAUCAUCAUACUGAGAGGAUUUAUAAGUAUUCCCCUUCUUUAUACUUUAUUUUAAUUCAUUGAGGACAAAACAUUCAUUUUUAGUGGGGGUGGGUAUAAUUGUACCACCAGAGUUUUUGUUGCUUGUGUUCUUUUCCUCUCAUGUGCUAUCUAGUAGAAAUAGCAUAUAUAGGUUGUAUAUUUAUUUUUUUGGUGAUGUAUGUAUCGUUUCAUGAUUAUUAAUAUAUUUAUGUUAUUUUUCUCCCUUUAGCACCAUUUUGUAUGUAUGAAUUAAAAAAAACUAUAGCAAAGUACUUUGAACAUGAUUGUAUGGCUAUUCUUUCUUGUCACUAGGUAAAUAUAUUGAACUACAAUUUGUGAUUCUAUAAUUGGCAUUAGGAUAUAAGAAGUGCAUGAACAUGUGAUGUAAAUCCCAAGAGUUGGUAGAAUAAGUGUUAACUCAUUGCCUGUGUGUGAGAGUGUUUGUUAUAGUUCUCGCAUAGUGUUAUACCUAGAACAUGCCCAGUUCAUUGAUGUUGUUUUGUGAUUGAUUCAAUAAGAUAGGAUAGCAGACCUCCUUGUACUUUUAGUUUACUUAGAUGAAAAGAAUGACCCACCAAAAAGAUUUUUCCAUUUUUGAACCCCUUUUGAGCUUAUGUUAGUUUUUUAUUAAUUCUCAAUAACUCUGAUCAAUUCUCUUUAGGAUGUUAGCUCCACACUUUGGUCCUGGUCCAAUAUUAGACACUGUCCACCUUAACUUAGGUAGAACACCUAAGUUGAGGGUAGCUACUAUCAAGACGUUAGCAGUUUAAUAAAGGUGGUAUAGAGUUGAAAUGAAAUAUCGCAUCCGGCCUUGAUCUAGUUAGUUAUUGUGUACCUCAACUGACUGCAUCAAUAUAAGUUGAGGGUCGCUAGUGCUGAAUCUAAAACAAAUUUGGUUUUUAUAGAAAAAGCAUUGAUGAAUAAUAAAAAUUAUAAGUAAGCCAGAAAAGCAGUAUUCUUGGUGAGUAACAAUCAUGGGAAAAGAAAGUGAAGUCUGAAAUUUAAGUUACUUAUCCCAAAAUUUGUCCUCACCUAGCCUCAGAACCUCGUUACUAGCCUUAGAAAGACUUGCGUGAUCUUUGCGAAUCAACCAUAAGGGAGCAUUAAAUGAUAAGGUCAAGCCUAUUGGUAUGUAUUCUAUGUUUGAAACUUCAUUUGUGAGAGUGAGUGUCUUAGUUUCAUCCAUAGGUUAAAUGACUAGAGUGUGGUAGACUUCUUUGACUGUGAGGGCAUAUUGAGUUAUACUUAGUUUUGCUAAUUUCUUUGGGGUUGUGUCUAUAGUUGUGUUUGUGCUGAAUUGUAAAUAAUGCCAAUUAUGGAUCCUGAUGUGUUGAGACCACACGUGCAAGAUAACUGUUGAAUGGUUGUAUGAAGUAUAGUUUAACAGUUGAAUGCCCAUUAUUAUAUUUAUUCAUACAUGCGGUUUAGUGUUGAGUUGAUUGAGGAUAAGCCAUUGUCUUAAGUUGAGGGUGUUGAUGUUUUGGCUUUUGACGAAAUACUUUAUACCCUUUGCAAGGGAUAAUUGGGAAUUUUCAAGCAAUUAUUAUUGUAUUUGACACUGGAUUUUAGUGUUUUUAGGUUAGAGACUUAGCUGGAGAAAUAACUUGGAGAAGCAAGAGAAUAAGGGCUUUGACAGUCAAACUGAUAGACCAUCAACCAUAUGACAGACUUUCAGGAUGUCCAUCAAUGAAAAGCAGAUGAGCACAAUAGAAAACCUCUACGACAGCCCAAGUUAUGGACCAUUAGGACAUUGAUAGGCCGUCAACUCGAAGUAUAAUAAUUCAACCUUGGUGAUGAAGAGACGGUCCAAGCGAUGGACUGUUAGCAUAAUAAUGGGCUGUCAAUAUGGACGUCGGAGGUGAAACAAAAUGUAACAUCACUAGAAUCCUUACGUUGAACCUAGCGAUGGACCGUCAAGGGCUUGACGAGCCAUCAACUCAUCCGUCAAACUUAAAGCGGCAAUUCAAUUUUUGAAUUUUAAAACCCUAGGGACUGAAACAUAUAAAUACCCAAUUUAGGUUUUAUUCAUGGAUCUUUUUAUCUUUCACUCAUAUAUUAUUCACUUUAACUUUUGAAUAUCUUGUAACUCAUUACUCUCUGGGAAAGAGCUGAAAUUGUGGAUCUACAUUAUUAUUCACCAUUCUAUUUGAAGAUCUAAGAGAACAUUUGUAGGAACUUUUGUAAGUGAUUAUUUGAAUUAAUUUAUGAACAAAACAAUGUUUUCUUCUUCUUCCUUUGAGAUGUGUUGCUAAACCUCCCAUAACUAGGGUUAAGGGAGCCUUGAUGUAAAUAGCUGUUUUGGGUUGUGGGAUUGUGUGAAUUCAGUAACAAAUUACAAUUGCAUAAACUCUUCUUUAUUUUAAUAAUCUUUCUUUGUUGCAAACUUUAAGAAGAGCCCAAGAACACAACUUGUUUGAGUAUAAAAUAUGUGUGUUGGGAAAAGAAGAGGUUUACAAAGAUCCUAAAGACUUUAACCUUGGGUUAAGGGUUGAUGUCUUAACAGGAUCAACCUACUUGAGCAAUCAAUUGAACAUAUUAAUGUGCUCUUUAAGUUUGAGAGAAUUGAGUGGUAAUCAUCUAUUAAGGUUGAGAAAUAAAUAGAUGAAGUCUAGAGUUCAAUAUAUUCUUGCAAUUGGAAUUUGUUACAUAUGAAUUUGAGGUAACCCAUAACCUUGACUAUUAUAACAUCUCAGUGAACAUAAUCCUAGUUUUGUUAUUCUCAUUGAGUUAAACUUUACAAGAAUACUUAUUAGUUGAAACACUGUCUACUAUAAUAUUAUUUCAUUAUUAACAAACAAACCUCCUUUUUUACCUCAGAACCUUUGAUCAACCAUUCAUUAAUAAUCAUAAUGCUUAAUUUACACCAUAUUCCCUGUGGGAUUUGACCCCAACCUAGGUUGGGUUUUAUAUUUGACGAAGACCGCUUACACUUUCUAAAGAGAGUUGUAAUUUCGGCGUAUCACCUACACUUCCCUGUUUGUCCUAAAUCCCACUCCCAACUAAAAUACUAAUUGGUGCAAGAACUGAUAACUGAAAAGAUCAAGUCAUGGUAUUUUUAAACAAUAGUGUAUACAGAGUCUAUAGCUAUUAUACACAUGUAAACUGAUAGUGCUCAACAUGAUUAUAAUAGACUCAAUAUCAUAAUAAAAUAAUGAGUUGACUAACUCAUUACUUGAAAAGUCUGAAAUGUAAGUAAACAUGUAAGUAUCGGGUAUUCAAAAAUUACCAGCACUAAAUAAUUUCAAAAUUCGAUAACAACACUUAAAAUAGUGCCAUAAAGUUACAAUUCAAAGACCCAAAACAUGAGACAUCUCAAUAACCUAAUAAAUUACAUAAAUUUGAACAUGGGAAUGAUUUUACCUUAGGGAGAUAUCAUGUUUGUACUGUUUAAAUCAUAAUUUGAUAAUUUGACAUGAUAUUCGCCAAACACGACAAGGGGUUUUGGAACAUAAAUCAUGUAGGAGAAAAAUUCACAUAAAAAGAUCAUUAGCAUGUUUUGAAUGUAAAAUUAUUAAGGGAACAUGAAUAAAUUUCUUGAAUUUUAUUGAACAUGAUCAUAAAUUAGUGUAUAAUUGAUACUUGAACCAAAAAGAGGGGUUUGGGCUUAAUGUGUGAAAGAAACCCAUUGAUGAAUACCCCACAUACCUUAAUUAGAUGAUUACUUGAAGAAAGCUUGAAAUUCAAACUUGAAUUUUUGAAUUAUUUAGGAAGAAAGCUUGAAAAUUUUGUUCUAGGGAAGAGGGAAAGGGUUUACGUAUGUGUUUAAUGAUGAAAAAUGGGUAUAUAAUUCCCUUUUUGGUGCUUUAAUCCGUUACUCGGGUGAUUGAAGAAAAGGGGAAUAACCAAAAUUCUCCUUGGUCUUUUACUUAGGACUACAUGAAAUAUAUCUUCGACAUCACGAAGGCUAUGUAGGAUCGAAUUCCAAAAUUUGGCCGAAUCAAGAGCUCUUAACUCUUCUUUUCUGUAAGAGUUUCCUAUGAACAUUUUUUACCUCAAUAGAAAUUCACACACUAGGAUAAUGAUGAUGAAAUAUAUAUUCACAUACAAAACUUGGGAUUAAAGUUUAUACACAUAGAAAUGACAGUUCAAAUUCUAGCCCAAAAAUAUGUGGUAUUAUAAUAUCCAAGGGAAGUAUUUACCAUCUCAUCCGAGUCAAGGACUCAAAUUCUGAAACUCCAAGUCUUAAGUCAAUUCCAUUAGUGAAUGCAAGAAAGAACUUCACACACUAGGAUAAUGAUGAUGAAAUAUAUAUUCACAUACAAAACUUGGGAUUAAAGUUUAUACACAUAGAAAUGACAGUUCAAAUUCUAGCCCAAAAAUGUGUGGUAUUAUAAUAUCCAAGGGAAGUAUUUACCAUCUCAUCCGAGUCAAGGACUCAAAUUCUGAAACUCCGAGUCUUAAGUCAGUUCUAUUAGUGAAUGCAUUUCCAAAAGUGUUCCUUAAAGAUCUUCCCAGAGUUCCUCCUGAAAGGGAACUUGGCAUCGAAAUAGAUCUUCUCCUAGUUACCCAACCUAUCUCAAUUCCACCUUACAUAAUGGAUCCAACUGAGUUUAAAGAAUUGAAGAAUCAGUUUAAAGAACUCUUAGAUAAGGGUUUCAUUAGUACCUGUGUCUCUCGAUGGGGUGUUCCAAUUCUGAUCAUGCACAAGAAAGAUGGUUCUUUCUGAAUGUGCAUCGACUAUCAUCAGUUGAACAAAUUUAAAAUCAAUAAUAAGUAUUCUCUCCUCAGAAUUAAUGACUUGUUAUACCAACUUCAGGGUGCAAGCUAUUUCUCUAACAUAGACCUCAAAUUCGGCUAUCAUCAGCUUCGAGUCAGAGAAUAUGACAUCCCAAAGACAGCUUUCAAACCUCAGUAUGGUCACUUUGAAUUCCUAGUUAUGUUUUUUGGACUAACAAAUGCUUUGUAAUUUUUAUGGACUUGAUAAACAAGGUGUUCAAGCAGUACUUGGAAAUAUUUGUCAUAGUCUUUAUAGAUGAUAUCCUUGUCUAUUCUCAUAGUGAAGGUGAUAAUACAAACCAUUUAGGACUGUAAUGCAGACCCUUAAGGAUCACCAGUUAUUCACUAAGUUCAAUAAGGGCAAAUUCUAGUUAAUAUUAGUAGCUUUCCUUGGUCACAUCAUUUAAGGUGAUGGCAUUUGAGUUUACCCUCAAAAAACCAAAACACUAAGAAACUGACCUAGAGUCAUCUCUCCAUUAGACAUUAGGAGUUUCUUAAUUUUACAAGGUUAUUAUAGUCAGUUUGUUAAAGGACUUUCUUCUAUUGCUUCUGUCAUGUCUCGACUAACCUAGAAAAAAGUCAAAUUUCCUUGGUCACAUUCCUGUGAGAAGAGUUUUUAAAAAUUAAAGACUUGACUUACUUUCUCUCUAGUCUUGACUUAACCAGAUGACACAUAUGAGUUUGUAGUCUAUUGUAAUAUUUAUAGAGUUGGUCUUGGUUGUGUAUUAAUACAGUGAGGUAAGGUCAUAGCCUAUACCUCUAGACAACUUAAACCCCAUGAGAAGAAUUACUUGACCCAUGACCUUGGGUUGGCAAUAGUUAUCUUUGCUUAUAGAUUUGGAGGCAUUAUUUAUAUAGGGUUCAUGUUGAUGUGUUUAUGGAUCUUAGGAGUUUAUAGUAUGUAUUCAUACCAAAGACCUAAAUCUCUAUUAAAGAGGGUGGCUAUAAUAUUUGAAAGACUAUGAUAUAAGCGUACUGUAUCGCCCUAGUAAGCUAAUAUAGUAGUCGAUUCCCUUAGUAGAUUGUCUCUGGGAAGUGUUUCUCAUGUUGAGUAUUAUAAAAAAGAGUUAUUCGGUGAGGUUUAUCAGCUUGCUAUGUUAGGUGUUCGGAUGAUUGAUUCGGGUGAAGGUAGUAUAUGGGUUUAGAAUGUUCAAAAUCUUCAUUGGUGGCCAAAGUAAAAGAAAAGCAAGACAGGGAUCCUAUUUUGAUCAAGUUGAAGAAGGGAUCAAAUGGUGGAGGUUUUCUUCUAAGGCAAAGAUGGUGUGCUUUGUUGUCAAAGAAGGUUAUGUGUUUCGUGUGUUAAUGGUUUGAGACAAAAAUACUUGCUGAAAUACAUAGUGCACGAUAUUCUAUUCACUCAGGAGCCACUAAGAUGUAUCAUGAUUUGUGAGAAAUAUAUUGGUGGAAUGAUAUGAAGAAGGAUAUUGCAAAAUUCAUGGCUAAGUGUUCGAAAAUCUAGCAGGUUAUAGUUGAGCACCAAAGCCCUAGUAGUAUGAUUUAGGAGUUCAACAUCCCCACUAAGAAGUGAGAGGUGGUGAACAUGGAUUUUAUGACAAGGUUACCUCAUAUGCAUCGUUACCAUGAUUUGAUUUAGUAUAUAGUAGAUAAAAUUACUAAAUAAACAUAUUUCUUUCCAAUUCAUACUUUGUACUUAGUCGAGGAAUAUACUAGACUCUAUCUCAAGGUAUUGGUGAAGUUUCAUGGGGUUUCAUUGACCAUUAUUUUAGAUAGAGGUACUCAAUUUAAAUCAUAGUUUUGGAAGGUUUUAGAAGGGUCUUGGUACUUAAGUUUAUCUAAGUACAACUUUUCAUCCUCAGGCAGAUGGUCAGGCAGUGCAGAAUAUUCAGACUUUAGAGGACAUGUUGAGAGCUUGUGUUACCGACUUUAAGGGUAGUUGGGACAAUCACUUAACUUUGAUUGAGUUUGCCUACAACAAUAUCUAUCACUUUAGUAUUCAGAUGGCUCUGUAUGAGGUUCUCGAUGAAAGAAGGUAUACAUCUCCUAUUUGUUGGUUUUAAAUAUGUGAGGCUACUUUGAUGGGGCUAAAUUCAGUGUAUGAGGUGAUGGAUAAAGUUUAGUUAAUUUGAGAAAGUCUGAAGACAUCCUAAUGUCGUUAGAAAUCUUAUGCAGAUGUGAGGAGAAAGGAUCUUGAGCUUGACAUUGGCGAUUUGGUUUAUUUGGAAAUUUCACCAAUGAAAGGGGUGAAGAGGUUUGGUAAAAAAGGGAAGUUCAGUCCUCGCUUUAUUGGCCUAUAUGGGAUUAUGAGCUACUUUGGAAAAGUAGCUUAUGAUUUAGUGUUGCCUGCAUAUUUGGCAUCAGUGCAUCUGAUGUUUCAUUUCUCUUUGUUAAAGAAAUAUAUUGGUUACUCAGCUUAUGUUAUUCCUCUGGAGAGUGUGGGCAUGAAAGAUAGCCUUUCCUACAAAGAAGUCUCAGUUGAGAUCCUUGACCGACAAAUUCGUAGGAAUAAAGAAGUCCAUUUGGUUAAGGUUUAAUGGAGAAAUCUGUCUGUUGAGGAAGCUACUUGGGAAGCAGAAGCAGAUAUCCGAUCCAAGUAUCAUUAUAUUUUAUCUAUGAAUUCUGAUCCACUUUGAAGUAAUUCUUUUCCUUAAUUAAUUUUCUCAUUUCUAUUUCAGCUAUUAAACCAUGGUAAUGUCAUUGCAUGCAUUCAUAAAUUUAGUUCAGUGCAUGUGCCAUGUUUCAAAUUCAGUGACAUAAUCAUGAUUUAGCUCAUAAGUAUUCAGUAUAUAAUUUCAGUUUUCCUAGUACCUCACCUUGAAAUAAUUUUGUUUUAAAAUGAAUGAUCCCAACAAGGAGAUAUUAUAAUACCCUCCAAGAUCCUAGACAAGUUUCCAUCUAGUAGUAACAUGUUUAAAGGGUCAAAAGUAAUCAUUUCACACUAAGUACAAGAAACUUAGCCAUUUUAAGACACCAUGAUCUCAAAUAAUUUAACUUUGGCCUUCCCGAGUUUUAAACAUUAAUUUUUAAUUUGAAAUAUUUAAACAUUAAUUUUUAAUUUAAAAUAUGUUUAGGGAUAUUAAAAGGGUCAUCCAGGAGAGUUUCAGAAUUUUUUGAAUAGUUUCAUGGUGUUUUUACACAUUAGAGGUAGAAUACCUGUAAGACCCCACAAAAUUCCUAAGCUUAAAUCAGUCCUUUAAGCUUGUCAAGGGGGGGUCCCAUACUUAGAAAAUUCUAGCUAAGUUCCAAGGCUUAGUUUAUUUUUGUUUUUCAAAAGUUGGCAAACUCAUUUCGUCACCUUAAUUUCCUUUAAUGGUUCGUAUUUUUGUUAAUUCAUGAUCAGAGAGGUCAAUUGGUGUUCCCGGACAAGUUUCAGAAUUUUUAGACCUUGUUUAGACCAUGUUUGGUGUCCUAAAGCAGUUGACCAAUGCUAUCUUAGUGCGCCGCGUUGCCUAUCACAUUGGUUAACAUUAUUGAAGGGACUGGCAGUAAAAUUACUGAGGCUUGGCAUGAUCAUGAUGCGAUGCGUUGGGUAUCGCAUUGAUGCAUCGAUGUACCGCAUCGCUAAUCGCCUCUAUACUAGUAUUUAGUCAUUAAAUAUUCAUGUUUUUAAGGGAAAAAGGGUCAAUUUCCCACCCCUAUAUAAGCCUAUAACAUGAGAUUUACCCUUAGUUGACCAAAAUAUUGUUGUUACACUCAAAUACUCUUAAGAACAAGUCUAGGGUUUCCAUAGGAGCUUCAAAUUCAAGAGAUUCUACCAUUAAUUUAUAAGAAUUUUCCAUCCAAGGUAUGUCAAGUGUUCAUUCAUGGAUUCCUUUCAUCCAUGAAGCCCAAGAAUCCAAAUUAUAAAUUGUGAAUUGUGAUGUUUAUGUUGUGGAUUGAUUAUGUUCACGUAGUUAUUGUUGUAGGAUUCCCAAGUUGGAGUCUUUAUGUUUUGUUCAUGAAACUAUGCUAGAAUGUGGGUUGAAAUUUAUGAAAUUAAGUUGAAUUAGGGAAUCAUGUUGUAUUAAUUUGAUAUCAUGCCUAAGCCUUAAGUUAUGCAUACUAGGUGUUUGAUAAAAUGCCUAAGAAAAUAAUACUUGUGCAUUACGACUCAAUAGAACCUAAUUGAUGAAUUCAUGUUAGCAUUAUGUUCAAAAUGACUCCCAUGAUAUUGUUAUGCCUUAUAAUAGAUUGAUGUAAUGCUCAUGAGAUUAGUCUUAGGGAAUUAUGACAUAUUUAUAUGCAUUCUUAUUCAUGUGUAAGCCUGUGGUAUGCAAAUACUUCAUGAAAAUCCCCAAUGAUAGUACUAUGAAUUGUUGGCCAUGGUUAUGUGUUCAAGAAGUGUCAUGUAUUGUCAGUUUCAUGCUAUCGAGUCCUAGGGGUACUUGUACCCGACAACUUAGCUGUGUGCCUAGAACCAACGUCUAUUUUAUGAUAAAUCUCAGUUAUGCCAUAAUUAGUAGUAUCCUCAGUCAGUUUCAGAACUCAGUAGAAUUCAGUCAGUUACAUGACUCAGGAAAACUCAUUAAUCUAAGUAAUCUCAUUUAGUUAUCAGAUCUUAAUAGUAUUUCGUCAGUUAACAAAACUCAAUAAAAUCUGUCCAGUUCAGUUCAAUUAAUCAUGUUCAAUGUCUAUUCAGAUAGGAGUAGGAUUCAGCACCGAGUGAGUCCAAGGAUGGAAAGUCACCUGUUAGUAGAGGGUGUGAUUCUUAGAAGGAAUCCUUGUGCUCCAGAACUACGUAGCCACCGUAGGUUGAGACACCAAACUUUCAAGUUAAGGGUAGAUGAGGUGUCUUAACCUGUUAUUUAAGGGUCCCACAGUUCUCCUUAGAGUACCUAUCAGACGAGGUAUUUCUCACAGCUUAUCCUUACCAGUGGCACAGUUUUGACACCCUUCCAACUGGGGUUAUAGGUUGGAUCCUAAAUCUAUCUAGAAAAAGAGGCAUGUAGGUUAGAUGAAUUCACCUAUAGUUUCAGUUAUAGAAUCAAGACUGUCAGAUACAGUCACCUAGUCUCAGUAAUAGAACUCAGAUAGUUCUACAGAACCUAGGACUAUCAGAUACAGUCACUCAGCCCAGUACGAAAUGCAGCUAGUUCCAUCAGAACCUAGACUGUCAGACAGAGUCACCCAAUAUCAAUUAUAUCAGUUAUAUCAAUUGUCAGUAACUCAUGUUAUCAGUAUUCAGACUCAGUACUCAGUAUUACUCAUGAAUCCAGUCACAGUUACAUUUGUCAAUUAGCAUUGUUCAUGCAUAUGAACCCUUUGUUUCAGCCUACCUCACUUGUAUACAAGUGCAUUCAAUCGUACUGAUGCAUUUUCUUUAUGGUGUUUUUAUACCAUAGGUUCAGAAGCACGAGCUCCCAAGCAUCAGUAGCAUUCUAGUUUUAGCAGUCAGAGUCAGUAGUGAGUCCUCAUCAUUCGAGGACGUUGUGAUUUUAUUAUUUCAUAUAUUUAGUACUUAGUUAUUUCAGUAGUUGGAGUUAGUUGGGGAUAUGUCCCAUCAACUCUUUAUUCAGAUAGUCUAGAGGCUUUCAAACUAUAGUAUGCUCACAGUUAUUUCAGUUAUUUUGGUAAUGAUGUACCACAUUUAUAGAUGCUAUGUUUUAUCAUAUAUUUGAACCUUAUGGCCUUUCAGCCUUUAAUUCCACAUUUUUACAUCAUAUUAUGCAGUGCUCAGUUAUAGAUAUCAGUCAUGGGUUUGCUUAUGGUCCUCCCAGGUCAUGAGCACCGUGUGGCAUUCUGGGUACCCAAUUCGGGGUGAUAAAAACUUGGUAUCAGAGUUUAAGGUUCAAUAGUGUCCUAGGAAGUCUAAAAGCCUCAUCUAGUAGAGUUUUGUACAUGGGUGUGUUGCGCGCCACAUUUAUGCAUAGGAGGCUAUAAUAUGUUUUAGGAAUAGUUUUCUUUCUUUUAGUUUUCAUGUCGUGCCAUAGAGAAUGUGCUCAUGUUUCACUCUUAGUCUAAUUCGUUACUCCCUUUUUUCUAUAGAACAUGCCUCCUAAGCGAAGAUACAAAAAUAUGUUAGCCCCUUAGCCCAUCCAAGCAGAUCUCUUGGAGGAACAUAUUUCUCAUACAGAGUUUAGAGUUGCAUUCACUACUCUUGCUAACUCAGUUGCUGCCCAGAAUGACCGACCAACUAUCAUUUUGGCUAACCUAGUGGCCAACAUCGUAGCAGCCUAGAUUCAGGACUUCACCCGAAUGAAUCCACCAUCCCUUUUUAGGUCUAAGUCAGAUGAGGACCCUUAAGAAUUCCUUGAUCAGGUUUAGAAGGUUAUAAAUAUCAUAGGGGUGUCAGCUGUUGAGAGUGCUGAGCUAGCUGCAUAUCAGUUGCAGGAUGUGGCUCACACAUGGUUUAAAUAGUAGAAAGCAGAGAGGGCUGGUGAAGCAGGUCCUAUAGAGUGGGAGGAGUUUUCCACUGCUUUAUAGAUAGAUUCUUUCCCCUAGAGAUGAAGGAAUCUAAGGUGCUAGAAUUUAUCAACCUUGGGUAGGGUAACAUGAUAGUGAAACAGUAUCUCUUAAGUUUACUCAACUAGCUAGAUACACUCCUCAUGUAUUGGCAGAAAACAGGGCUAAGAUGAGUAAGUUUGUUUCUGGGGUGAAUGAUAGUGUGGUCAAUAAGUAUAGAUCUGUAAUGUUGAUUGGUGAGAUGGACAUAGCCAGCCUUAUAUCCAUGCUCAACAGAUAGAGGAGCAGAAGAUUAAGAUGAGAGAGAAGCAGAAUAAGAGAGCAAGAAUAGUUAGUUUCAACUUUGCUCAACCUAAGUCUGAGGGUUGAAGUCAUUCUCCAUUCUUCCCAAAGUCAUCCAUUCUAGCUCCUUCCUCAACCAGUUCUCCAGUUCCAAAAUUUAGAGACAGCAAUAGAGAUAGGGUACUUGUAGAGAUGGCAGUGAUGUUUUCUUUGGAUGUAGCAAGCCAUGCCAUAGAGUCAGAGAUUUUCCUCAGCUAGGUCAUCAGGGUCAGCGUAACUGUUCUUCAACUCAGUCCUAUCACCCGAAUCAGCAGGGUGCCACUUCCAGUGCUACUAGUAGACAACGUCCAAAUAGAAUCUACGCUCUUCAGUCUUGAUAGGAUCAGGAAAAUUAUCUUAAUAUUGUUACUGGUACGUUAUAGAUCUUUCAUUUGUAUGUUUAUACUUUUCUAGAUCCCAGAGCUUCUUUGUCUUUUGUUACUCCUUAUAUAGCAGUUGAUUUUAGAGUCAGUUCCAAAAUUCUAGUAGAGCCCUUCUCAGUCUCCACCCCAGUGGGUAAAACCAUCAUAACCCAAUGAGUAUACAGGAACUGUCCGAUUAUGGUAUAUUAGAAAGUCUCUUCAGUAGACUUAGUCGAAAUAGAAUUGUCCUAUUUUAGUUUUCGAAUGAACCUAUCAUAGAGUGGAAAGGUAGUAAUUUAGUUUUUAGAGGUCAUCUUGUUUCCUACCUUUGGGAACAGAAAUGAUAUCUAAGGGAUGCAUCUAUCAUCUUGUUCGAGUUAAGGACUUUAGUUCCAAAACUCCCAGUUUUUAAUCAAUCACAGUAGUGAAUGAAUAUUCAUAUUUCUUUCUCGAAGAUCUUCUAGGAAUUCCUCUUGAAAAGGAAAUAGACUUUGGUAUUGAUCUUCUUCCAUAUACUCAGCCUAUAUCUAUUCCUCCAUAUAGAAUGGCACCAGCGGAACUCAGAGAAUUUAAAGAACAGUUGAAUGAUUUCCUAGAUAAGGGAUUCAUUAGAUCUAGUGUGUCCCCACGGGCCGCACCUAUCUUAUUCUUGCAAAAGAAAGACAAUUAUCUCAAAAUGUACAUUGAUUAUCGUCAACUCAAUAAAGUCAUGGUCAAGAUCAAGUAUCCACUUCCCUGAAUCGAUGAAUUGUUUGACCAACUUCAGGGUGCCAUUUAUUUCUCCAAGAUAGAUCUUAGAUUAGGCUAUCAUUAACUCAGAGUCAGAGAAAGUGACAUUCCAAAAAUAGCCUUUCAUACUCGAUAUGGUCACUUCAAAUUCUUAGUUAUGUCUUUUGGUCUUUCUAAUUCCCUAGCAACUUUUAUGGACUUGAUGAAUCAUGUGUUCAAGCAACACUUGGACAUGUUCAUCAUAGUUUUUGUAGGUGACAUCCUUGUUUACUCCCGCAGUGAGCGUGAUCAUACAGACCAUCUCAGAAUAGUAUUCAAUACUCUUAAAAAUCAUACGUUGUUUGCCAAAUUUAAUAAGUGCGAGUUUUGGCUAAGAUCAGUAGCGUUCCUUGGUCAUAUUAUUUCUGGUGAUAGUAUUAAAGUUAAUCCCCAAAAGACUGAAGUAGUAAGAAACUGGCCUUGCCCUGUAUCUCCAUCAGAUAUUAGGAGCAUCUUGGGUUUGGCUGGCUAUUAUAGAUGGUUUGUUGAGGGAUUUUCUUCUAUUGCAUCCCCUAUGUCUAGAUUGACUCAAAAGAAAUUUAAGUUUCAGUGGUCAGAUCCUUGUGAGAAGAGUUUUUAGGAGUUGAAGACUCGACUCACCUUAACUCUAAUUUUGGCUCUUUCAGAUGGUACAGAUGGGUUCAUAGUGUAUUGUGAUGAAUCCAUAGUAUGUUUGGGUUGUGUCCUCAUGCAACAUGGUAAGGCCAUAGACUACGCCUCCAGACAACUUAAACCCCAUGAGAAAAAUUAUCCUACUCAUGAUCUUGAGUUAACAGCUAUAGUUUUUGCCUUAAAGAUUUGGAGGCAUUAAUUGUACGGUGUUUAUGUAGAUAUGUUCAGAUAUUAUAAGAGCCUUCAGUAUGUUUCUUCUUACAAAGAUAUUAAUCUCUGUUAGAGAAGGUGGUUAGAGCUCUUGAAAGAUUAUGACAUGAGUAUCCUUUAUCAUCCGAGCAAGGCCAGUGUAGUGGCGACACCCUCAGUAGACUAUCUAUGGGUGGUAUUACUCAUGUUGAGGAUAGUAAAAAGAAGUUAGCUCAGAAAGUCCAUCAGCUUACCAGACUAGGUGUUCGCCUAGUCGAUUUAGUAGAAGGUAGUAUAUGGGUUUAGAAUAGUUCAAAAUCAUCUCUGGUUUCCAAGGUGAAAGGAAAAUAGGAUAGAGAUCCCAAUCAAAUCAAUUUAAAAGAAUCAGUGAAAGAUCAUAAAGUAGAGGUUUUCUCCCAAGGGGGAGAUAAUGCUUUGCGUUGUUAGGGUCGUCUUUGUGUGCCAGGUGUAAAUGAAUUGAGGCAGCGAAUUCUCGCAAAAGCGCAUGGUGCGUGCUACUCUAUUCAUCCAGGGGCCACUAAGAUAUACCAUAACUUAUGGGAGAUCUAUUAGUGGAGAGGGAUAAAGAGAUAUAUUGCAGAGAUUAUGGCUAAGUGCUCUAUAUAUCAGUAGGUUAAGAUAGAGCAUCAGAAGCCUAGUGGGUCCAUACAGGAGUUCAGUAUUCCUACUUGGAAGUGGGAAGAAGUGAACAUAGACUUUGUAUUGGGUGUGCCUCAUACUCAUCAUCAGCAUGAUUCAGUUUGGGUCAUUUUCUUCCAAUCAAUACCUUUUAUUCAGCUGAGGCUUACGCCAAUCUCUAUAUCAGGGAGUUGGUUAGAUUACAUAGUGUCCUAUAGUUAUUAUUUCAGAUAGAGGUACCCAGUUCACCUCACACUUCUGGAAAACAUUCAAAAAGGGUUUUAGUACCCAAGUUUAUCUCAGUACAACCUUUGAUUGAGUUUGCAUAUAACAACUGCUAUCAUUCCAAUAUUUGGAUGGCUCCAUUCGAAGCUCUCUACGGUAGGAGAUACAAAUCUCCAACGGUUGGUUUGAAGUUAGUAAGGCCUUAGUUAUAGGGCCUGACUUAGUAUUCGAUGCCUUAGAAAAAGUCCAGUUGAUCAGAGAAAGACUCUAGGCUUCUCAAAGCCGACAAAAGUCUUAUGUAGAUGUGCGUAGGAAGGAUCUUAAGUUCGAGAUUGGUGACUAUGUUUACCUAAAGAUCUCUCCCAUGAAGGGAGUGAAGAGAUUUGGCAAGAAGGGAAAGCUCAGUCCCCGAUAUAUCGGUCCCUUAAAAAUUCUCAAUUGUUUUGGCAAGGGAGCUUAUGAGUUUGAAUUGCCUUCAGAUCUAGCCUUAGUUCAUCAAGUGUUCUAUGUCUCUUUGCUUAAGAAGUGCAUAGGUGAUCCAUCAACUGUAGUCCCUAUAGAGGGCACUGAUUUUCAGAACAACCUCUCUUAUAAUGAGAUUCCAGUCGAAGUUCUUGACUACCAAACUCAUAGACUGAGGAACAAAGAAGUCCCUCUAGUCACAGUUCUUUGGCAAAAUCCGUCCGUUGAGAAAUCUACUUAGGAAGAAGAGGCAGAUAUAUGUACCAAGUAUCCUAACCACUUUUCUGCUAACUCAGACUCAGCCCAAGGUAAUAAUUUUCCUUAAGCUUCCUCAGUUAUCAAUUUUAGUUUCAUUACCAACUUGGUAUUCAAUUUCAUGCUUAGAAUUCUAUUAUAAACUUGGUAUCAAAUACUAUUGUAUAUUCAGUCAUGUGUUCAUGCAUCAUGUCAGUCAUGUAUUCAUACAUCAGAUAUACAUCCUCAUUAUGAGUAACUCAGCUUAUUAGAAAUCUUAUUCAUGCAUCCAUGAAUCAGUUACUCAUGCAUCAGAUAUGCAUGUUAAGUAUGAUAUAUUCAGUUUAUCAGUCAUGUUAGUCAUGAAAUCAUGUUUCAGUUAUUCAUGUCCUAUAUAUAUUUUAGUUUGUAUUUUCCCCAUCUUAGUCAGUCUCAUUCAAAGAUGAAUGUUCUCAAGGAGGAGAUAUUGUAAGACCCUGUAAAAUUGCUAAGCUAAAAUCAAACUUUUAUACUUGUCAAGGAGGGUCUCAUACUUAGAAAAUUCAAGAUAAGUUUCCAGAUUUAGUUUAUUUUUGGCCUUCGAAAGUUUUCAAUCUCAUUUUUCCACCUUAAUGUCCUUUAAUGGUCUAUAUUUUUGUUAAUUCAUGAUCAGAGAGGUCAAUAGGUGUUCCCAAACAAGUUUUAGAUUUUUCAAACCUCAUUUUAACCAUGUUUGCUAUCCCAAAAUAGUGGACCAAUGCGAUCUUGGCGUGCUACGUCGCCUAUCGCAUUGGGUAACAUUAUUGCUGGGACUUCCAGUCAAACUACUGAGGCUUAGUGCGAUCAUGGCGUGAUGCAUCGGGUAUCGCGUUGAUGUAUUGAUGCGCUGCAUCGCCAAUCGCAUCGAUGCCCAGUUUUCAUUCAUUAAAUGUCCGUAUUUUUAAGGGCAAAAGGGUUAAUUUUCCACUACUAUAUAAGCCUAUAACAUGAGAUUCAACGCUUAUUUCACCAAAAAAUUGUUGUUACUCUCAAAUACUCUCAAGAAAAAGUCUAGGGUUUCCAAAACAGUUUCAAAUUCAAGAGAUUCUACCAUUAGUUUCAAUAAUUUUCCAUCCAAGGUAUGUCAAGUGUUCAUUCAUGGAUACCUUUCAUCUAUAAAGCCCAAGAAUCCAAAUUUUAAAUUAUGAAUUGUGAUGUUUAUGUUGUGGAUUGAUUAUGUUCAUGUUGUUAUUGUUGUUGGAUUCCCAAGUUAGAGUCUUUAUGUAUGAAACUAUGCUAGUAUGUGGGUUGAAAUUUAUGAAAUUGAGUUGAAUUAGGGAAUCAUGUGGUAUUAAUUUGAUAUCAUGCCUAAGCCCAAAGUUAUGCAUACUAGGUAUUUGAUAAAAUGCCUAAGAAAAUAAUACUUGUGUAUUAUGACUAAAUAGAACCUAAAUUAUGAAUUCAUGUUAGCAUUAUGUUCAAAAUGACUCCCAUGCUAUUGUUAUGCCUUGUAAUAGAUUUAUGUAAUGCUCAUGAGAUUAGGCAUAGGGAAUUAUGACAUGUUUAUAUGCAUUCUUAUUCAUGUGUAAGCCUGUGGUAUACAAAUACUUCAUGAAAAUCCCCAAUGAUAGUACUCUGAAUUAUUAACCAUGGUUAUAUAUUCCAGAAGUGUCAUGUCUUGCCAGUUUCAUGCUAUCGAGUCCUGGGGUUACAUGUACCCGAUAACUUAGUUGUGUGCCUAGAGCUAGCAUCAGUUUUAUGAUAAAUCUCAGUCGUGCCAUGAUUAGUAGUACUCUCAGUUAGUUUCAGGACUCAGUAGAAUUCAGUCAGUUACAUGACUCAAAAAAACUCAUUAAUCUUAUUAAUCUCAGUAAUCUCAGUCAGUUAUCAGAUCUUAAUAGUAUUACAUCAGUUAAGGAACUUAAUAACUUAGUCCAGUUCAAUUCAGUUAAUCAUGUUCAGUGUCUAUUCAGAUGGGAGUUGGAUUCAGCACUGAGUGAGCCCAAGGAUGGGAACUCACCCAUUAGUAGAGGCUGUGAUUCUUAGAAGCAAUCCUUGUGCACCAAAACUACAUAGACAACAUAGGAUGAGACAUUAAAUUUUCUAUUUGAGGGUAGAUGAGGUGGCUUAACCUGUUAUUUGAGGGUCCCACCUUUCUCCUUAGAGUACCUGUUAGACGAGGGAUUUCUCAUAACUUGUCUUUACCAGUGGUGCGGUAUUGAUACCCUUCCAACUGGAGUUACAGGUUGGACCCCAAAUCUAUUUAGAAAAAGGGGCAUGUCAGUUAGAUGAAUUCUCCCACAGUUCCAGUUACUGAAUCAGGGCUAUUAGAUAUAGUCACCCAGUCUCAGUAAUAGAACUCAGAUAGUUCUACAGAACCCAGGACUGUCAGAUACAAUCACUCAGCUCAAUAUGGAACUCAGCUAGUUCCAUCAGAAACUAGACCGUCAGGCACAGUCACCCAGUAUAAGUUAUAUUAGUUAUAUCAAUUUUCACUAACUCGUGUUAUUAGUAUUUAGACACAGUAGUCAUUAUUACUCAUGAAUCCAGUCACAAUUACACACUUAUGUAUAUAUUCUUACAAUCAUGUUAUACAAUCAGUUAAUAUUGUUCAUGUAUAUGAACCCUUUGCAUUCAUCCUACCUCACUUAUAUACCAGUACAUUCAAUCUUAUUGACUCAUUUGUGCUAUGGUGUUUUUAUAACAUAGGUUCAGAAGUAUGAGCCCCAAAGCAUUAGUAGCAUUCCAGUUUUAGUAGUCAGAGUUAGCAAUACGUCUUCAUUAUUUGAGGAUGUUAUGAUUUGAUUAAUUCAUAUCUUUAGUACUUAGUGAUUUAAGUAGUUAGAGUUUGUUGGGGACAUGUCCCAUCAACUCCUUAUUCAGACAGUCUAGAGGCUUUAAACUAUAGCAUGUUCACAAUUAUUUCUGUUGUGUUGGCAAUGAUGUACCGUAUUUCUAGAUGUUAUGUUUUAUUAUAUAUUUGAAUCUUAUGGACUUUUAGCCUUUAAUCAUGCAUUUUUACAUCAUAUUAUGCAAUGAUUAGUUAUAGAUAUCAGUCAUGGGUUUGCUUGUGAUCCUUUGGGAUCAUGAGCACCGUGUUGAAUUAUGAGUACCAGAUUCGAGGUGUUAUAACACCUCUAUUAUUUUGACAUGUCAUGAAGUCUAGACUUCCACAAUACAUGACAUUUCAUAGAGGCUAGUCUCUAUGAUACAAGCCAUGUCAUGGAGGCUAGUCUCUGUGAUAGUCUCCGUGACACAGAGGCUGUAUUUUCCUGCAAUAUUAUUUAAAGCCCAAGGGGGAAUUUUGGUCUUUUCCUCCUUUCCCUAAUCAUCAAAAUCAUGAAUUAAAGUCAAGGAGGGAUAUUAUUUUUACCAUUCCUCAUUAGUUAACAACGUGAAAGCAUCCCUCAUCUGAAGAACACAAAAUUUCAAGCUUUUUUCCAAGAAUUAAAUCAUUCAAGGUCCAAAUUCCAAGUUCUCUGAAAGAAUUCAAGCAACAUAGGUAUUUGGGGUAGUCAUCAAUGGAUUCCUUCCACCCAUUGUGUCCCAAGAAUCCUUUGUAUUUGAUGUAUAAACCUUUUUCCCUCUUUUUUAUGAUAUUCCAAUUUAAGUAUGAAUUUACUGAAUAUUAUCUUAAUAUCUUUGAAUUCAAGCCAUGCCAAAAUGUUUUUCCAUGAUAAUUUCGUUAUUACGUGCUUUAAAUUCCAAUCACCUAUACCAUGUUCAGUUGAUACCAUGUUAACUUACAAAUUCAUGAAUUAAUCCAUGUAAGCAUGUUGUCCACAUAAGUUUAAAACACUCCCAUACUUAUAAUCAUAGAUUCCAUCAGUUAAUGAUAAAUUCUAUGCUUUGGGUCUCUGAAUCAUAAAUUUCCUUAUUGUGUUUUAAAUGAUGUUACUAUAUUUAAAGUAAUCAUUUAGUGUUGGAGAGUUAUAAACACCCAAUACCCAUACAUUCAUGCAUAUUUCAAAUUUUAAGUUAUGUGUUAUUCAGACCAUGUUUAUUUUAUUAUAUUCAGAUUAUAGAUGCACUAUUAUUUUUCAGAAUACCAUGUUUGAGAAAAUUAGUUAUCAGUACAUGUAUUAGUUUUUGUCUCUUAUUAUUUUAGUUGGAAGUAUAGCUUAGCACCGAGUGAAUGCAGGGAUUGUGGCUCCCCCAUCAGCUUAGGUAGAGUUGUUAGUAGUUGUCCCUAAGUUCAAGAACUAUGUAGCAAACGUAGGUUUAUGAGGGCUCACCCAUUAGUUUAGGCUUGACUUUCUCUUAGGGGACACCCAUCAGUUUAGGCUUGACACUCUGGUCCUUUGGGAUACCAACUUUAUGGAUCCAUACUAUCAGUGUCAGUACCUAUGGUAAGGUAUUGACUCCCUUCAAGCUGCGAUUAUAGGUUGGACCCCGAUUGACUUAGAUUGGGGCAUAUCAGUUAGAUGUUAGCUUCCACAGUCUAAGUUUAGCAUUCAGACCAUAUGAGCUCUGGUUUGCAUGACCAAGUGUUUAGUUUAUCAGUUAUUUAGUUUACAAAUUAUCUUAGUUUGCGUUUUACUUAGUCUUGAAUUCUUUUUACAUGAUCAUGCAUUUAUGCACAGUACCUAUAUGUAUUCCAGUUAGUCCUUAUCUCACAUACCAGUACAUUUAAAGUAUUGACCACAUACACUCUUUUGUGCUAUAUUUCCCCUCUUGCCCAAAUUAAAAUCCACAUCUUAUAAUCCUUUUAGGGUGUCACUAGCACUCAAAAACAAAUCAAGUAAAUUUUUAAAUACUUGAAAAAGAUCUGUGAAUUCCUUCAAGCAAGUUAAGCUAGGGUUUUUUCAAGUUGGUCAUCUAAAGGCUCAAGGGUCAAUAUCUUUCCAAAUUUCUUGGUUUUUAAGGCAUGUUAGUCUUAGCUUCAUUGUUAAUUUGUUAAAAUCAUAUGUUUAAAGUAUUGUUCAUGAGAUGUUUAUGUUGGUUUAGAAACAAGGGUUGAGGAUUUUGAAUUUUUAUAAAUUGAAUAGUGUUUCUCAUAGCUUACAUAUGAUUUUAAUGCUUAAAUUAAGGUUUUGAACUUGUGGGUGCAUGGGUAUGGUUAUUGAUCUAAGGAAUUGUGAUUUUACCAAACUUGUGGCUUUUGAAGUGGUUAUAACCCCAACCCCAUAGUGCAAAACUAGAUUUAAUUAUGAGAAAUAUGGAAAUUUAUAAAAUUUAACUAUUCUUGAACUAUUUCAUGAUAUAAAAAGGUAAUGGAAACAUAAUGGUCUGAUUUAAUGAACAAAUAAAGUCGGUUCUCCCCCAACUUUUAUUAUUGAUCAAAGGGAGUUGUUUUUCCUAAGUUAAUGAAGAUUGUUCGAUAUGUUGUUAUUACCUUGCAAGUGUAGUUGGUAUGAUGAUACCAAUAAUGUAUGACUUAAUAUGAAAGAUUGUUCAACAAAUGGCAAUGUGUCAUACUUAUUUUAAUUUGGACUUAAUAAGGGUUAUGUAGAUGAGUCAUUAAAGUGAAGGUUCGAGUUAUCGAUACUGGAAAUCGUAUUUGCCAAUGCGAGGGUCAAAGUGUCCAGGGAGGCCACUAAUUAUUAUUUCAUGAUUAGGAAGGUUCAAAUCCCCUUCAAGUCAUUAAAUGAUUGGGUGCCUAAGUCAACUUAGUAUAUGGUUGGGAGGUCCAUGUCCCCCAUACAUAUAUAUGAGAUUAUUCUCCAAUUCAUGCACUUACAUGCAUUGAGGCCCAACCAGAGGGUUAGAACUGAGGACCAUAUAGCCCAUGGGUACAUGUUAUAAUAGUUAUGCUAUACAAUCCAAGAUAAAGUUUUAAAUUGCAUGAUAAACCUUGUUCCUUAUCACGCCAUGUGAUAUAUACAUAUAUGCUUAUGUAUAUUUACUUUGAAUGAUUUUGAACUACUGAUCAUGUCAUUAUGUAAUAUUUAUCUUAGAGUUACAUACUAGUUCUCACCUCGUUAACCGUCUUUGAACGCUGUAUCCCCAUGCAAUGCAGGAAUUUGCUAUAAUUUACUUCUCUUGUUAGUGAUUAGGAUUUGGGCUCAGCUCACGAGUUUACAUUAAAGUGGUGAGCUUCCAUACAUAAAAAGUCUAUAUUUCAUGUUUUGGUCUCUUAUGUCUCAAACUAUUUCAACUUAUUUUGGAUAUAAUCGAGGGCAUGUCCUAACACUUUAUUAAAAUUCAAUUUUGGUUCUUUGUUUAGAAGACUUUGUUUGGACUACUAUGGUUAUUGCGUUGUGUCAGUUAAUUGUUUGGCCAGUAAUUGAUUGAUGAUUAUGGACUUGUUUUGAAUUUUCUUAAGAUUGUUGCAUGCUAUCUUCAUAUAUAUUUGGAAUUUAUCUGACAUUGGGUGUGUUGUGAUUUUUUUGGUUAGGUUUAGGUGGAGAUCUCCGGUCCACGCAAGACUUGAGAUACCUAUCACAGCCCGACCCUAGUAAGGGUCAUGACAAAGAUGGUAUCUGAGCCUAGGUUUGGUGUCAUUGGAUGUCCAAAAAAGCUGUGUCUAGUAGAGACUCAUUUUUGGCUUUGUAGCAUCCACACUUAUAAGGGAGAGCCUACGAAGCAUUUAGGAAUAUUUUAUUUUUUUAUUAUUAUAUUUGAAGCUAUAUAGUCUAAGGUCUUGAAUCUUCUAUAAUUCCUACCUAUUUAAUUUUUAGAUCAUGCCUCCCAUAAGAUCUGAUGCUCGUAGAAAGUCUUCCAUCCAAUCUAAGGACAAUGUGGAUGGAGCUUAUACAACUCUAAGAGUUCAGAUACGGUCUAGGGUCGCUAUUUCUUAUUUCCCUGAAGUAUCUCCACUGAUUCCCCUUCCUUUCUUAAACACCUCUAGGUGAUGUAUCUAAUGCUGAGUUUUGCCAGUCGAUUCAUUUUCUCACCAAUUGGUGACCUCCCAUACUUAUCUGGUUUCUUCUAUUACUACAUCAUCUGAGGCCACUAGGGUUGGCUAAUUUAUGAGGUUAUGCCCUCCUAUUUUCAAUAGUUCUAAAGUUGAGAAAGAUCGUCAAAAUUUUAUUGAUAAGAUGGAAAAGAUAUUUCAUAUGAUGCAUUCUACUAAUGUGAAGGGUGUAGAGUUGUAGCUUAUUAGUUGAAGGGUGUGGCAUUCUAAUGGUAUAAGGAGUGGGACAAGUCUAGGAGUAAUGAUGAUGAGUCUUCUUUAUAGGAUGAUUUUUAUAGUGCUUUUCUUAAGAGCUUUGUUCCUUAGGAGUUGAGAGAGUCGAAGGCUGAGGAUUUUAUGAACUUAAAGCAAGGAAGGAUGACUGUUAAGGAGUAUGCAUUGAAGUUUCAUCAACUAUCGCACUAUGCUCCUAAAUUAGUGUAUAGCAUAAGGUCUAGAAUAAGGAAAUUUACCUCUUGGUUGUCCCAUAAGUUGAUCUGGGAUAGCAAGGCUACCUUGUUGUAUAAAGAUAUGGACAUAUCUUGACUUAUGGUGUAUAUGCAAUAAGUUGAGGAAGAAAAGAAGAAGCAAGUGGAGAUGAGUGAAAGGUAGAGUAAGAAAUUCACUAUUUAAAUAAGGGUGGAGAUCAGCAACACAGUGGUAGAGAUAGUGGGAAGUGGUCUAAGAAGAACUGGGGCAAUUUUGGUUCCUACUCUAUUACUAGUGCUCCUUAUCCAAAUCCAUUAUGUGAUUAUCGUUCUCCAUAGAAUGAUACAUUUAGAGCACUAGGAACCCAGUCGUAGGUUAGCGGGGAUCAGCUAUCUCCAUCAUAUCCUCCUUAUAUAUUUUAUGGUCAGAUGCAUCAUGGUUUUUAUGAGAAAAGAAGGAAUAAUUUCUUUAAAUAUGGUCAGACUGGUCAUCUACAUAGGGAUUGUCCAUCUAAGUUUUCUCUGGGGAAAAUAUGAAUCCUGUUACUGAUUUAUCCACUCCUAUACUAAAGGGUGCUAAUUCUACUUCUUGCUCUGGCAUUGGUCAGAACCAUCUCUAUGCUCUUUCCACUCACUAGGAUUCUAAGGCAUCCCCUAAUAUUGUUACUGGUAUGCUUAAACUCUUUUCUCAUGAUGUAUACUAUCUGCUUGAUCUUGGGUCUACUCUCUCACGUGACUUAUUAUAUGGCUAUUUAUUUUGGCAUUGAUCUUGAGUGAAUUCCAGAUUCUUUUUCUAUUUUCACCCUGGUGGGUGACUCUAUUAUGGAUAAAAGGGUCUAUUGGGGUUAUAUGAUAUUGGUCUAUGGUAGAGAGACCUUGGUGGAUCAGAUAUAGUUAGACAUGUUAGACUUUGAUAUGAUUUUAGGGAUGGAUUGGUUGUAUUUGUGCUAUGCUUCUCUUGACUAUCGGACCUAAAGAGUCAGUUUCCAUUUCCUAAACAAGUCGAUAAUCAAAUAGAAAGGUAGUACCUAGUGCCUAAUAAAAGGUUCAUUUAUAUCUUAGAUCCUCGAAAUUAUUUUCCAAAGGGUGCCUUUAUCAGGAAUAUUAAGGAUUCUAAAGAUAAAGGUCCUUCUUUGCAGACUGUCCUUAUGGUUUGUGAAUUUCCCAAGGUAUUUCCUGAAGAUCUUCUUGGUGUGCCUCCCAAUAGGGAAAUUGAUUUUGGGAUUGAUCUUCUGUUGGAUACUCGUCCUAUUUCUAACCCCCUUAUAGGACGACUGUAAAUGAGUUGAAAGAACUUAAGGAGCAAUUGAAAGAUCUUCUUGAUAAGGGUUUUAUCUACCAUUGUGUGUCUCCAGAUGGUGAUCUAAUUUAUUUUAUGGGUAAAAAGGAUGGUUCCCUUAGAAUGUGUAUUGGUUACCACUUAUUAAAUAAAAUAACCAUAAAGAAUAAGUAUCCAUUUUUGAGAAUUAAUGAUUUUUUUGAUCAGCUUCCGGAUGCUAAGUUGUUUUCCUAAAUUGAUCUUCGCUCUGGGUACCAUCAGUUGAAGAUUAGGGUGGUGGAUAUCAAGACUGACUUUCAAAUGUGGUAUUGUCUUUUGAGUUUUUGGUGAUGUCCUUUGGUUUGACCAAUGCCCCGACCAUAUUUAUGGAUCUUAUUAAUUGAUUUUCUGUUAGUUCUUCGAUUUUUUCAGGAUUGUCCUUAAUGUUGAUGUUUUGGUGUAUUCGAGGAGUGAGGCAGAUCAUGUCGAUCACCUUUAUCUUGUGUUUCACGCCUUAAAAGAUCAAUAUUUGUAUGCAAAGUUUUCUAAGUGUGAGUUUUUCUUGAAUGCUGUGACUUAUUUGAGUAAUGUUGUUUUUGGCGAAGGGAUCAUGGUGGAUCAAUAUAAGUUUAGGGUGGUUAAGAAUCGGCCUAGACCCACGACUGUAUUUAAUAUUUGGAGCUUCUUGGGUUUAGCCAGUUACAAUAGAAGGGUUGUGGAGAGUUUCUCUUCUAUUGCUGCCCCAUUGACUAAGUUAACUAAAAAGAAGGUGGAAUUCUUGUGGUCUUAUGCUUGUGAAGAUAGUUUCAAGAAGCCAAAGGACAAGUUGACUUUAGCUUCGGGCUUGAAUCUUUCUAAAGGCACUGAUGGUUUUGUUGUCUAUUAUGAUGUGUCUUUAGUAGGAUAGGGUUGUGUGUUGGUAUAGCAUAGCAAGUUCGUUGCUUUUGCCUCUAGAUAGUAUAAAGUUCAUGAGAAGAAUUACUCGACUUGUGUUUUGGAAUUUUUAGCCGUGAUGUUUGCAUUAAAUCUUUAGCGACAUUAUUUUUAUGGGGUCCAUAUUUAUAUUUAUCCUGAGCGUAAGAUCCUGCAAUACUUAUUCACCUAGAAUGAAUUAAUUCUCAGGAAAAAGAGGUGGCUUGAUUUGCUAAAAGACUUUUUCAUGAGUCUCCACUAUCAUCCAGGCAUAGCUAACAUGGUUGUUGAUACUCUUAGUAGGUGUACAUGGGAAUCUUGUCUUAUGUGGAUGAGGAGAAAUGGGAUUUCGUGAAGGAUAUUCACCAUUUGGCUAAUGUUAGGGUUCAGCUCUUGGAUUUCGAGGAUGGUGGUAUGAUUGUUCUAGAGGUGGAGCGGUUAUCUCUUGGUACUGAAGUAAAGGAGAAGCAAGUGUUGGAUCCUAUUUUGAUGCAAAUUAAGAAUGAUAUUGGUAGAUAAAAAGUGAUGGUGUUCAAAAUUGGUGUUGAUAGUAUCUUGAGGUACUAAGGAAGACUGUGUGUUCUCGAUGUUGAUGGGUUACAAGGAAGAAUUCUGGAUAAAGCUCAUGAGUCGCAUUAUAUUGUUUAUCCUAGUUCAAAAAAGAUGUAUUAUGAUCUUAGAGAGAUAUAUUAGUAGAUUAAUAUAAAGCGGGAUGUGGCUAAUUUGAUGGCUAAGUGCAUGGUGUGUCUGUAAGUGAAGGUAGAACACUUGAGGCCCGGUGGGUAGACUUAAGAGAUUGAACUAUUGGUGUGGAAAUGAGAGAUAAUUAAUAUGGAUUUGUUAUCGAUCUUCUACAGUCUCUCCAAUAACUUGAUUAGAUUUUGGUCAUCAUGGAUACGAUGACUAAGUUUUCUCACUUCUUGCCAGUGAGGACUAAUUUCUCUUCUGAGGAUUAUGCCAAGUUGUUCAUUGAGGAGAUCAUGAAGUUGCAUUGAACUCCAAUUUCCAUCAUAUAUGAUUGGGGUACUUAGUUGUCAUCUAACUUUUUGAGGUUGUUCCAGCGAGGUUUGGGGACUAAGGUUAGCCUUAAUACAACUUUCCACUCGCAGACGGAUGGGCAAGUGGAAAGGAUAAUUCAGGUCUUGGAAUACAUGGUUCAGGCUUAUAUGUUUGACUUUGGUGGUAGUUGGGUUGACCACCCAUCUCUCAUAGAAUUUUCCUACAAUAGCAGUUAUCACUCCAGUAUUGGUAUCGCUCUGUUUAAGGCCUUAUUAUGUAGGAGAUGUAGAUCUCCUAUUGGGUGGUUUGAGGUCGGUGAAAAUAAGUUGUUUGAUCCUGAUUUGGUUCACCAAGCCCUGGAGAAGGUAAAGGUGAUUCAUGAUAGACUUAAAGACAUCCAGAGUCGCCAAAAGUCGUAUGCCAGUAUAAGGCAAAGGGAGUUGGAGUUCUGUAUUGGUGAUUGCGUGUUCUUGAACGUGUCUCUCAUGAAGGGAGUGAUGAAUUUUGAUAAAAAAUGAAAAACCUGUCCCCGUUAUAUCAGUCUGUAUUUGGUUUUAUAGAGGGUUGGUAAUGUUGCUUAUGAAUUGGAGUUUCCCUCUAAUUUGAGAUCCAUUCAUCCGGUAUUUCAUGUUUCGAUGUUAAGGAAGUGCGUAGGUGAUCCUUUGACUAUUGUUUCUUUGGAAGAGGUGGAUAUUUUUUAUUUUUUGUCCUAUGAAGAAGUCUCGGUUGAGAGUUUUGAUUGGCAAGUCCGUCAGUUGCGGACCAAGGAUAUAGCUUUGAGAAAGGUUCUUUAGAGGAACCAAAAGGUGGGGAAGCUACAUGGGAAGCUGAAGUGGACAUGAAGUCUAUGUACCCGUUCUUCUUUCCUGUUCCAGAUAAUCAUGCUUAAGGUAUAUGUAUUCCUUAACAUCUUUGUUUAUUGACUUUGUUAAAGAAAAUUGUAAUUUUCUUGGCAUAUUUGUUUUUUUGUCUUUGUUAAAGGUAAGUCUAGUGGUAUGUGGAGUCCAAUCAUGCAAAUAAAUGUCUUGUCCUAUCAUUCAAGGAUGAAUGAUCCUAUGGGAGGGGGGGAGUAUGUAACGUUCCAGGUUUUUGUUCUUUCAAAAUUUUUUGAGUUGAGCUUUCUACUCUGGCAAUGACUCAUCUAACGAGUCGCAAUUUGUCUUAACGGGUCAGGUGACCAUAUUCGUAAGGUUCUAGUGAAUGGUGUCUGAGUUCCAAUAUUGGGUACGACUUGAGGGUACUAGUUGAAAACACUCAUGACGAGUCAUUAGGAUGUAAUCAUAACUAAAUUAGAAAUUAAGUGGCUAAGUUCUUCUUUGAGUAUAAGUGUCUCACCCUUAACAAUAAAGGCUUGUUACGAGUUAUUGGGUGCAAAUCGUAGGAUGUCUAGUGUUUACCCAAUUGGGUUUUGUGUUGACUAUGAGUCUACCCUAUGAGUCCUAGGGUCUUAUUACGAGUAGUACCAGUUGAUUUGUAGGGUCAAUAGUAUGUGGGGGUCCUAGAGACUGUCUUGAUUAAGACUCAUGGUGACGAGUUGUAAGGAGUGACUAUGAAUCACUAGUUAACCCACAAUCAAUGGCGGCACAUUUUCAAAUUUUAAGUUAAGGUUAUUUUAGAUAUUUCCCCUCUUACCGAAAUUAAAAUCCACAUCUUAUAAUCCCUUUAGGGCGUUAUUAGCAUUCAGAAAUAAAUCAAGUAACUUCUCAAACACUCCAAAAGGUUCUCUGAAUUCCAUCAAGCAAAUUAAGUUAGGGUUUCCUCAAGUUGGUUAUCUAAAGGCUCAAAUGUUGAUUUCUCUCCAAAUUCUUAGUGUUUAAGGCAUAUUAUUCUUCCAUCAUUGUUAAUUUGUUAAAAGCAUGUGUUUAAAGUAUUGUUCAUGAGAUGUUUAUGUCAUUUUAAAACAAGGGUUGAGGAUUUUGAAUGUUUAUGAAUUAAAUGGUGUUUCUCAUGAUUUACAUAUGAUUUUCCAUGCUUAAAAUAUGGUUUGAAACUUAUGAUUACAUGGGUAUGAUGAAUGAACUAUGGAAUUGUGAUAUUAUCAAACUUGUGACUUUUGAAGUGGUUAUGACCCCCAACCCAUAAUGUGAAACUUGUUUUAAGUAUGAGAAAUGUGGGAAUUUAUAAAAUUGAACUAGUCUUAAACUAUUGCAUGAUAUAAAAAGGUAUUGGAAACACAAUGGUAUGAUUUAAUUAACAACUAGAGUUGGUGCUCCCCACCUUGUAUUAUGAACAAAAGGAGUUAUUUUCCCCAAGUUAAUUUAAAUUGUUUUGGCAUGUUGUUAUUACCUUACAGGUGUAGUUGUAUGUCGAUAGCAACAAUGUAUGACUCAAUGUGAAAGAUGGUUCAACAAAAGAGAAUGUGUAAUACUUGAUUUAAUUAGGCCUUAAUAAGGGUUGUGUUGCUGAGUUGUGAAUGUGAAGGUCUAAGUGAACAAUACUGGAAAUCGCAUUUGCUGACAUUGGGGUCAAAGUGACCAAGUAGGUUAGAGUCCCUUUUAUUAUUAUUUCAUGAUUAGAGAGGUUCAAGUCCCCUGCAAGUCAUUAUAUGAUUGGGUGCUUAAGUUACCUUAGUAUAUGGUUGAGAGAUUGAGUUCUCCAUGCAUAUAUAUGAGAUUAUUCUCUGGUUCAUGCGGCUCUAUGCACUGGGGCCCAUAUAGCCCGUGGGUACAUGUUAUAAUGGUUGAGCUACACAAUCCAGGAUAAAGUUGUAAAGUGCAUGAUAAGCCUUGUUCCCUAUCCCGACAUGUGAUACAUAUAUAUAUGCUUAUAUAUUUGAAUAUGUGCAUUGGUUUUUAAUGAUUUUGAGUUGUUGAUCAUGUCAUUAUGUUAUAUUUAUCCCCGAGUAAAAUGCUAGCGUUCAGCCCGCUAAACGUCUUCGAACGUUGUAAACCCAUACGAUGUAGGAAUUGGCCAUACUUUUACUUAUCCUGCUCAGUGAUUAGGAUUCGUGAUCAACUCGCGAGUUGACAUUGAGGUGGUGAGCUUUCAUACAUCAGAAGUCUACAUUUCAUGAUUUGAACUCUUAUGUCUCAGGCUUUUUAGACUUGUUUUAGCUAUAGUCGAGGGCAUGUCCCGACACUUUAUUGUUAUUUAGUUUUGGUUCUUUGUGUAUAAGGCAUUUUUUACACUACUUUUGUUAUUGGGUGGUGUCGAUCAUUUGUUUGGCCAGUUGUCGGUUGACGGUUAUCGUCGGUCAGCGGUUAUAGACUUUUUUUAAAGUUUCUUAAGAUUGUUUCAUGCUAUCUUGUUAUGCGUUAGGAAUUCAUCCGAAAUUAGGUUUUGUUUGUUUUGAGGUAAUAUUAAGAAACUUUGUCACUAGAUGGAGAUGAUGGGUUAAAUAUUGAGAGCUGAGAAUUAUUGAUUAUACUAGUGACUACGCCAUUACUUAUGAUAUUUAAUAUAUAAUUGUCAGCUCAUGUUCGGAUAUUGAUUAUAAUUAUGAUGAUAUACUUAUCGGUUCAAGUCCAAACAUUUAUUAUGAUAGGAUGUUAUUAUUAUCGGUUUGAGUUCUGAUAUUGAUGAUGGCAUUGAUGAUAUUAUUACCAAUUUGAGUCCGACUAUGGAGUACGUUAUUGAUGAUAUAUUUAUUGGUUCAAGUCUUGGUACUACUUAUGAUAUUGAUUAUAUAAUACCAAUUCAAGGCUGGAAAAUGAGUAUGAUAUAUGGGAAAUGUGGAUAUUAGUUUAAGUUUGGAAAUGAAAAAUUGUUGUAAUGUGGCAUAAUGUGGAUAGAUUUUGGUUGUACUCAGUUGCCCGAUGAUGACUACUGAGUAGUCAUAUUACAUUUUUGUACCUUUUUGGUGCUCCACCAUUAAUUCAAGGAUCAUGUUGUGUUAGAUUUCGGAGAUAGGGUGAGCUUUUAGAGUUAGAGUUGGCCCAUUUCCUUCCAUCUUAAUUAUGUCUAGUCUCUAGUUUUGAGACAGAAUGUAUUGACUAUUUUAGACUUGGGUUAUAUUUAUAGUAUCUUUUAUACUGGCUCUACCAGGUCGUGGGAUGAUUUCCUAUAUUAUGGCUACCUUUAAGCUGUUUCUUUUGUAUUGCGUACUUAUGUAUUGAAUUGCCUAUUUGGCCCUUUUUGGGGCAUUUCUACCAAGUUAUCCAAUAGAGAAUAGCUCCAGGCAAAGGUUUGUCUUACCUACUAGCAGGAUUGAGUAGGGGAUAUCAUGACUUAUUAAUUGAAUUGUGAAAACUUGGUAUUAAAUCCUAGAUUGAACCGAUAUUGUUGUACUAGAGGAAGUGUCUUUUAGAGUUCUAUAGAUCAAAAUGAUGAUACACAUUCCUAUCUUUGGGAGGCUAAAAUACAUUCUUAUGAGUUUUUCAUUUUUUUCACUUAUUUUAUACAAAGUGUCUAAGUUGGCUUGUAAAGCAUUAAUUUGACUUCACUCUUUUACAAAUGGCUAGAUGCAUGCUACCGCUACUCGAUACAAGGGUCUUAAAAUUGAGCCUAAAGAUCCUGUUGUUGUUCAUGGAUGAGCUAGAAAUUAUGGAUACCCUUGAGAUGUGUCCUAGUUAGCGGUCAGGCUAUGAGGCCUCCACCAGACCCUAUUCCCACUCUUUAGCCAGAGAUUCUUUUGCUUUAGCCAGCAAUAGUCCAGGAAACAGAAUAGGCUCCACCAGGGUUUAUUUAUUCUUCAGUGCUCAAAGAUACUUUGGUUCAACUUUUAGUGUUGGUUGGUGGUGCGCCAUUUGAUUGUGCACAGUCUACAAAUUAGAGUGGUCAUGAGGCUCCAAAAGUUGAGGUUCCUCCUGCCAUAGUAGUUGCUCAACUAGUAGUUUCCCAGCCUGCUAUGUCUUCUAAGAAACAAAAGAAGUUGGUUAGAUUUUGAUAUUGACUCCGCCUAGGUUUUUUGAUGCACCGGGCAAGGAUGGAUAUGAGUUUCUUAUUGCUUGUAAGGAUAGGCUCUGUAAUUUAGGCCUAGUAGACACUCGUUGAUUGGAUUACACUACCUUUAUAUCGGACUUGGAACCUGGCAUUGGUGGAGAGGUUAUUUUGAUUCCAGGCCAGCUGGAUUUUCUUCUUUGACAUGGGCAUAGUUCUUUGAGAUUUUCUUAGAAAAGUACAUGCCUAGCAGCCUUAGAGAUAGUUUGACGGGUCAAUUAUUAAGAUUGGAGUAGGUCUCUAUGAUGGUUUUAGAGUACGAGUCUCAUUUUUAUGAGUUCGAAAGGCUUUCUAUUCUAUUUUUGAUACUGAGUAUGAGAGAGUUUGUUGCUUUGUUAGAGGUUGAGACUUCCUCCGAAUAUCUGCUUAGAGUUUGGUUAUUAUGGGUAAGUUUUUUGCUGAGGUUUCUAAUUAUGCUUAGGUGAUGGAAGAGAUGCAUCAUAAAGACCAAGGGGGUAGCGAUAAGAGUCCUAGAUAUCAGGGUAGUUUCAGAGCGAGUCGUAGUAGCUCCCAUUUUAGAGGUAUUGGUUUUCAAGGUUGGUAACUUUCGCAUCAUCCAUAUCAUCCCAGAGUCAACCUAGUAGACCAUUCAGGAAGCACUUCUUAUUACUAAUGAAGGUCAAUCUUCUGUUAGUGAUCUCAAUUGUCAGAGUAAUGGUCAGCUUUUAAUGGGUUUAUCUUUUGGUUAUUCUAGUCGAGGUGGCUACUCCGGGUCAGCCAGAUCUUCUAGCACUGGUCCAACAACGAUGACUUCUUAUAGUUGUGGAGCUUUUUGUCAUUAUUUGAGAGUGUGCCCUAGUAUUAGGGUAAUUAUAGUUUUAGCUCAUAGUAUUUCCCUGAUAUAACAGUUCAUCCCUUAGCUAAAGGUGGUUUACAUAGUCAUAGGAGUGGGCCCCAAUAUGCUCGAGGUGGUUCUCAGGCAGGUAGGAUAGGAUAUCAGUUAGGAGCCUAGCCAGGUGGCCGUCGUGGUGUGUUGUAUGUAGUACCAACAAGACCUAAGGCUGAGUCUUCAGAUACUAUUAUCACAAGUAUGAUUUUUGUAUGUUGUCAAUUGGCCUUUUCUUUAUUUGACCCAAGAUCCAUAUAUUUUAUGUUUCUACUUAUUUUGCUCCAUGGCUAGAGUUAUCUUGGGAUUUAUUAUCCACGCUCUUAUGUGUAUAUACUCCCGCGGUUGAUUCUUUAGUAGUGGAUGGGGUGUUCAGAUCCUCUGUUAUGACUAUUAGAGUUAUUGAUACUCAUGAUGAUCUAAUUAUUCUGGAUAUGGUGGAUUUUGAUGUGAUUCGAGGCAUGGACUCUUUAUUCCACUAUCAUGCGGUGAUGGAUUAUUUUUCCAAGACCAUUACCUUACCCAUGCUCGGCAUACCCCUAGUUGUAUGACAGGGAGUUAUUAGCUGUGAGACAACAGGGAUUAUUUCUUAUAUGUGUGCUAGGAGACUUAUUUUGAGGGAUUGUGAGUCUUAUCUCUCUAAUAUUUAAGAUGUUAGUGUGGAGAGUCCAUUGCUUGACUCUGUUCUUGUAGUUUGUGAGUUUUCUAAUAUUUUCCCCAGCGAUCUGCCUUAUAUUCCUCCUGCCCGCGAGAUUGAUUUUGUUAUUAAUCUUAAGCCUGGCACUCAACCUAUUUUUAUGGCACCUUAAUGUAAGUUCCUAUCGAGCUUAAGAAGCUAAAUUCUCAGUUUCAGGAUAUUCUUAGUAUGGUCUUUAUUAGAUAGAGUAUGUUUCCUUGGGGAGCCCCAAUGUUGUAUGUAAAGAAGAAUGAUGUCACCAUGUAUAUGUGUAUUGAUUAUAGGAAGCUAAAUAAGGUGACAGUUAAGAAGCAUUAUCCUAUGCCUUGCAUUGAUGAUUUUUUCUACCAACUUUAGGGUGCAGUGGUGAUUUUUAAGAUUGAUUUGAGAUCUAGUUACCAUCAGUUCAGGAUUGGAGCCGAGGAUUUCUCAAAGAUAGCCUUUAGGACCUGUUAUGGUCAUUAGGAGUUCUUGGUGAUGUCCUUUGGGUUAACUAAUGCCCUAGCCGUAUUUAUAGAUUUAAUGAACCGAGUAUUCAAGCCUUAUGUGGAUUCCUUUGUGAUUGUGUUCAUCAUUGACAUCCUUGUGUAUGUGGUGUCUAUAGAUGGGAUUAUGGUAGACCCGAUGAAGAUAAAACCAUUCGUGUUUGGGCUAGGCCUACAUAUCCGACUGAGGUUCAUAGCUUAAUUGGAUUGACUGGUUAUUACAGAUGAUUUGUUAAGGGUUUUGCUACCAUUUUAGCACCGAUGAAUAGGCUUUUCUACCAUUUUAGCAUCGAUGAACAUAUUGACUCGAAAGGAGGUUCCUUUCUGAUGGUCCAAGGAGUGUGAGUCGAGCUUGGGUAAGCUUAAUGAGUUUCGUACUUCUACUCCUAUUUUGUCUCUUCCGUGUUUUUGGCAUUGUCUUGGGUUAUGUAUUGAUGCAGCAGGGUCGUGUUAUUACGUAUGCUUCUAGGAAGCUUAAGGUGCACAAGCGAAACUACCCCACUUAUGAUUUGGAGGCAUUAUCCUUAUGGUGUACAUUGUGAUAUUUUCACAGAUCAUCGUAUCCUUCAGCAUCUUAUGACCCAGAGGGAGCUUAAUGUUAGGUAGCAAAGAUGGAUGGAGUUUCUUAAAGAUUAUUAUAUCUAUAUCUUGUAUCAUCAAGGCAAGAUGAAUGUUGUAGCAGAUUUCUAAGUGGGAAGGUGGUGAGUAUGGGUAGUUAGGCUUGUAUUUCAGUUUCAUAGAGGCCGUUGGCAUAGGAGAUUCAGUCCUUAGACAAUUUAAUAGUGUGACUUGAUAUUUCAGACCCUCAAAGGGUUCUUGCUAGUGUUGAGGCGAGGUCUUCACUCAAUGAGAAGAUUUAGGAUUGCCUGUUUAAGGAUAACAGGCUUUGCAUCCUCUGUGAUCAGGUAUGGAGUAGUGAGUCCAAGAGGGCUAUCAUAGAUUAUGAGGGUGUUCUGAGAUUUGAUAGCCGCAUUUAUGUUCCAAGAGUUGAUGACUUGAUUUAGUUGAUUUUGCAUAAAACUUACAACUCUAAACAAUCCAUACAUCUAGGUACAACUAAGAUGUGUGGAGAUUUGAGACAAUAUUAUAGGUUGAGUGGCAUGAAGAGAUAUAUAGCAAACUUUAGAGCACGUUGCCUGCGCUGUUAGCAGGUAAGGGCUGAGAAUGAGCGACCAAGUGGUUUGAUUUAGAGAUUGCCCAUUCUCGAGUGGAAAUUUAAGUGGAUUACCAUGGAUUUUAUCAGUGGUCUACAUCGCACUUCCUGUGGUUUUGAUAGUAUUUGGGCCAUCGUACAUCAGUUGACCAUGUCUGCAUAUUUCAUUCAUAUCUAGAUGUCCUUCAGUGCUGAGAGUUUAGCUCAUAUUUUUGUGCAUGAGAUAGUCCAUUUGCAUGAUGUUCUUAUAUCUAUUAUUCAACAUUGAAGUUUUUUGUUCACUUCCAGAUUUUGGAGACAUUUUCAGGAGGAGUUGGGUACUCAGGUGGAUCUUUAUAAAGCCUUUCAUCUAUAGAUAGAUGCCUAGUUCGAGUAGACUAUUCAGGUUCUCAAGGAUAUACUUUGGGCCUGUGGUAUGGUUUUCGGAGGUCAAUGGGAGACGCACUUAGCGUAGGAGUUUGCAUAUAUUAAUAGUAAAUCAAGAAUUGAGAUGGAGCCUUUUGAGGCUUUUUAUGGUAGGCCAUGUCGUUCCCCAAUUGGAUGGUUCAAUACUUUUGAGAUUAGACACUGCAGGACUGACUUGCUUCAGGAGUUGUUGGACAUAGUUAGGAUGACUUAGGAUAGGUUAAGAGUGGCUCAAAGUAGCAAGAAGUCCUAUGCAGACCGUAGGCUUCAUGACUUGAGAUUUGGAGUUGAUGAUCGGUUAUUCCUCCAUAUGUUGCCCAAAAAAGGUGUCAUGAUAUUCCGGAAGAAAGGCAAGCUUAGCCCCUAAAUAUAUUGGACCAUUUAAGAUUCUUCACACAGUUGGUGAGGUGGCUUUGUGUUAGCCUUACCCCCAGAAUUUGCUGCUGUCUAUCUAGUUUUCCAUAUUUUUAUGUUGCAGCGAUACAUUCUUGAUCAUUGUCAAGUGCUUAGAUGGGACACAGUCUAGUUUGAUGAGCGACUUACCUUCGUGGAGUACCUUGUGGUUAUUUUGGCUAGUGAUGUCAUGCAGUUGUGCACUAGGGAGAUUCUUAUAAUUAAGGUUUAGUAGAGGUACCAUCCAUUAGAGGAGGCUACUUGGGAGAUCGAGAGUGAGAUGCAGACCUAGUAUCCUCACCUAUGCAGGACUUGAGGUAUAUCCUAAUCCUUGACUUUUGCGGAUAAAAGUCCCUUUAGUAGUGUAGAUUGUAAUGACCCUUUAGGUCAUUUUCCAUAAUUCUGCUUAGUUUUGCUUUUAGAGAUUUUCCAUAGCUACCCAAGGUCAUUUAUGAAUUGCUGGGGAUAAUUUGGUUAUCAGAAAGUUCAUUUUAUUUGUAGAGCUAAUUCCCUAUUUUUGAAGUCUCCACUGGUUCAAAUUGGCUACUGGAUGAAAACAUCAGUAAAAAAACCUCAUAUGCCAAUUCUAAAUGUUCCAACAGCCCCAGAAUAUCAAUUUUAGGCUAGAAGGACUCUUGGUUCGAGUCUCGAAGCACCUGGGCUCAUUUUGAUCUAUUGGUAAAAAAUUAAAAAAAUGAAAUAUAGGUGUGAGACCCACUUUUAGUCAAAACAACCUCAAAUGUAAAUUGUGACUGCACCAUUAAGCAUCAAACGUUGAAUUUGGUAUGGUAGCAUAGUCCAUUUGCGUAUAUGAGAAAUUGGAUGAAUCACGAGGGGUUUUCGGAGACUUGGAAAAUUCCAGGUCUCAAUUAUAUCUGGUGCAAUAACCAAUAGCGAACCUUGGAUCGCUAAUAGCGAUCUGAAAGCACCAAUAAGUUUCUGCGUCAUGAUAUGUUUAGUUGAGAAAGAGACUUCCUAGGAAGUUGACCAGCAUCGCUAUUGCCAUAGGGGGUUAUCGCGAAUGUAACUUUUGUCCCUAUUGACAUGUAUGGCAAAAGUGGUAGUCAGGUCGCGAAAGAGACUCUCGAGUAGAUGGAAUAGGUAUAAAUACCCCAUUUACAGCCUAUUUUUCACAUUCUUUAUCAUUGUAUCGAGACUUAUAUCCUAAGGAGAGGAAAAGAUUAGGAUCAAAGUUUUUGCGGGAUUUGGGAGUUUAGAUAACGAUUAUUUACACGAUUUUUCUUUGGAUUUGAGGUAAGGUUCCUCCAUUUCAAGGUUGGUUUCCCCUUUUCUUUCCUAAAAUCUCUAAACCUUGGUGGCUUUAUUGUAGCACCAAUAUAGCUCGGAUUUCACCCAUUCUUGAGGGUAAUUACUCCCUGAGUAUCAGGGAAUAUUGGGCUAGCUUCGGAAAUGUAAUUUCCACAAAUGGGACGUACAUAGGAUUUUUGAGUGUUUUUGGACUUAAUGCACAAUGGUGCAAUAUAGGUAUCAUUAUUAUCAUGGCGAUGAGUAUAUUUUGAUUAUUAUAACUUGGUAUUUUGCAAAAACUUCUUGGAAGGAAAAGUCGAUGAUUUAUUAGAUUCUUUGAGCUUUCUUCAACGUCCAGGUAGUCUAGGUUUUACUCCCUUCAUAUAGUGAGCUAUUUCAUUGUAUGUUUAUGAUAUUAUGUUAGAUUUGGUAUUGGUUUAAGGUUUUAAUGAUCCAAUGGACAAUACUUGGGUUAGUUGGACAUUCUAGGCUAUUCAGAAUCCGUAAUUUAGGUGCUUUGGCUUUUUGCUGUAACACCCCACAUUUUUCGGGCUAGAAUUCAAAUCGUUUUUUCCAUGUAUACAGACCUGAACGCAAUGAUUCUAUGUAUAUAUAUGUGUGAUUGUCAGUUCUAUACUAUGGGAAUAUCUUUUUAUAUGGAUUGAGGUCAUAAAAAUCUUGUAACUCAAAGACGAGUUUUGGACUUUUCUAUCGAUAGAGUUUUGCUCCAACUAGGGUCCACUUUAAAUGAUUGUAUCUCCUUUAAUAUAACUAUUCAUCUAUUCUACUAUAUAUUACAUUAAAUAUCUUUGAUUCUUCUUUUCAAUGCACCUGAUCUCACCUUAAUCCAAUAUCGGAGUAGAAAGUUAUGCUCGUUUUACUUCAGAGUGUCCGUCUGUCAACAAGUUGACAACUUGAGAUGAAAAUAUGUCAACUAAGUGAUGAACUAUCAAUCUCGUCAUCAGCCUUCACUAGAAUGUGACAAAAUUAAGAAAAAGGAUGAUAACUUAGGGUGAUAGGCCAUCAACUAAGUGAUGAGCUAUCAACCUCGUCGUCAGCCUUAACUAGAUAAUUAAGUGAAAGUGACGACUAGGUUGAUAAGCCGUCAACUAGUUGACAACCUAUCAACUUAGUCGUCAGACUUAACCAAAUCAUUAAUAGAAGGUGACGACUAGGUUAAUAAGCUGACAACUAGUUGAUAGGAUAUCAAUUAAGUCGUCAGCCUUAACCAGAUCAGUAAGAGAAGGUGGCGACUAGGUUGAUAAGCCAUCAACUAGUUAACAAGCUAUUAACUGAAAAAUUAUAUAAUUUUUAUUUAGUUUCCCUCGGGGUAUUUUGGUCUUUUCCUCACCCCAAACCCUGCUCCACACGACAUUAAAUCAUCAAAUAGGCGUUAUUAGCCAUUAAUAGUCAGUUUUAAAUGCCAUUAAUCCUUUCUAUUCUGAAGAACAUCAAGCUUAGGGUUUUCUCAUCAAGUCAUCUCUCAAGACUUAAAAUUUGACUUUUUUCUCCAGAAUUCAAGCAUCCAAGGUCCCAAUUCCAAACUUCUUCUUCAAGGAUUCAAACAAUGAAGGUAUGUAGGCUAUUCAUCAAUGGGUUUCUUUCACCUAUUGAGCCUAAAAACUCUCUUUUUGGUUUAAAUAUGAAUUUUAUCCUAUUUUAUGAAAUUAUCCAUGCAACUUAUGAACUUAAUCCAUGUAUCUCCUUGCAAUUUGAAUUCAAGUUAUGUCAACAUGUUUUUCCAUGUAAAUCAAGUUACUUCACAUCUUAAAUUUCAACUACUCAUGUUGCAUUCAAGUGAUUCCAUGUAAAAUCUUCAAGUUAUGAAUCACCAUGUCCAAGUUCAUGUAUUUCACUCAAUUAUUAAAAUGUCUUAUGUCUUGGUCUUUCAACUAUGAUUUUAUACCAUUGUUUAAGCAUUUUUAAAUAUAUUUUGUGAUCAUUCAGUCCUGGAGGGUUAUGAACAUCCAUUACCUAUCUGUUUAUACAUGUCUUUAUUUUCAAGUUACAAGCUAGAUAUGUCAUGAUUUUUAUUACCAUAUUUAGACUACCAUGUUCAUGUUGAGAACUUAACAGUACAGUACAAUGUUAUGUUGACGAAUAAUAAUACCAGAGUCAUUCAGUUGGGAGUUGGAUUUAGCACCGGGCAAACAUAGGGAUGGGAGCUCACCCCCCAGUUAGGACUGGGUCCUUAUUAGCAGUCUUUAAGUUCCAGAACUGCUUAGACAGUGUAGGAUUAUGAGGUGUCACCUACUACUUUAAGACUGACACUCUCUUAGGGGUCACCCACUAGUUAAGGACUCGCUCCCUAAUUUGUCAGGACAUCAGCCUUGUGGAUCUAUAUCAUCAUCAUCAUUUAUAUGUUAGUACCCAUGGAAAGGUACUGACAUCCUUCCAACUCGGGAUAUAGGUUAGACCCCGACUAGCUCAAAUUGGGGCAUGUCGAUUACAUGAUAGCUCCCACAAUUUCAGUUAGUAUUUAGUCUAUAUUAGUUUAGGUUCGCUUGACCAAGUAAUCAAAUUCUUAGUUAUUCAGUUAUUCAGAUAUCAAUUAUUUAGAUAAUUUUAGUACAUGGUUUACUUGGUUCUUCAUUCUCAGUUUUACAUGUUCAUGUUCUUCAUGCUCAAUAUCCAUAUAUGAUCCUUAGUUUAGUUUUACAGUAUGUUCAUCGUUACAUAUAAUAUUCAGGUUUUACCGCUUCCCAACUUCAGUUCUAUUUAUUCUACAAAACUAAAGAUUUAAGAAACAAGGUGUAUUGAUUCACUAGCUUAUAAGAUUAUGUUUGUUACUCAUGUUUUAAGAUACUUCAGCUUUCAGUUGAUUUCAGUCUCUUGGUGAGUCUACUUUCGCUUAGCAUGCAUGUUUUAAGAUUAUGUAUCUAUUCAAUUUUACUUAUUGCAUUCACCCCCACUUACUCAGUACAUUCCAAAAGUAAUGACCAUAUAUACGUCUAUGUGGCUACAUUAUUUCAUAAUGUAGGUACAAGAAGUAGUCCACACUCAACAAUCAGAGAAUUCUCAGCUUUUAGCUAGCUGGUGAUGGGUUCUACUAUUUCAGGAACUCCAGUCUAUUAUAGUUCAUAUAAUGUAUUUUGAUUUCUCAUAUGUAUUGGUGGUAGUUUGAGGCAUGUCCCACCUAUCUAUAGUCAGUAUAGUAAAGGCUUCAUAGAUAGUCAGUCAGAGUUAUGAUAUGUAAAUCAAGUUCUUUCUUCAAUUUUAUCAUAUUGUAAAAUUUAUUAGUAUUACAUCCAUUUAGAUUUUCUCAUGAUUAUGAUUCCAUUCAGCAAAUUAAGUUUUGUUAUAUACAUAUUAAAUAAGUUGCUCAACAAUAUGCCAAUACAAGUGUUAGCUUGGGAUCACCUGUGGUUCUAAGCACCGUGUUACAACUAGGAGGUAGUCUCAGGUUGUGACCGUUGCUUAGUUCAUUCGUAGAAUUUUUUCCUUAGGGAUAAUUAAAUAUUUUUUGACAUCUAAAAGUUAAUUUAGAUACCUUAGCCAAGUUUGAGGUAGAAAUUUGCCUAGUAGUGAUUUCGGGGAUUUAGAAGCGGGCCCUUUGACCUAUCUUAGGCCUCGAUUUAUGUUAGCUAUUAAAAACCUGUUAUACGCUUGUUUUACAUCUUGAAAUUUCUUAUUAAGGGAAUAUUGAUAAACAAUCGCAUUUGAUGGUGAUGAUGGAAUUAAUAUUGAGAGAUGAGGCUUAUUGAUUAUGCUAUUGCUUAUGAUAUUGAAUAUAUAAUUACCGAUUUGAGUUUGGAUAUUUAUUAUAGCAACAAUGAUAUACUUACCAAGUUAAUUUGGGCAUUUAUUAUAAUAUGAUGAUAUUUUUACCAAUUUGAGUCCGAAUAUUGAUAAUGGCAUUGAUGAUUUUAUUACCGGCUUGAGUCCGGCUAUGGAGUACAUUAUUCAUAAUAUAUUGCUGGUUUGAGAUCGGCUACUACUUAUGAUAUUGAUUAUAAGAUAUCUAUUCAAGGCCAACAAAGGAUCAUGAUAUAUAGGCAAUGUGGAUAUUGGUUUAAGUUUGGAAAUAGGAAAUUAUUCUAAUGUGGCAUAAUAUGGAUAGAUUCUUUUUGUACCUUGAGAGUUGGUAAAUAAUGGUAGUUUGAGUUAUACUAUUUUUGUGUGUACCCUCCAGGCUUAUUAGGGCCUUCGUUGGGUUAUUUACUUUUCUGCACUUAUUGUCUCUUGGGGGUCAAUUUUGAAGUUGUAAUCGGAUGUGUUUGAUCCUUCAUGUUAUGUUAUUAUUUUGGUUAUUUACUUAUUCAUGUAUAGUGAUGCUGGAGUUGAUUCAGGUUUGCUCUACAUUGACUUAGUUAUAUUGUAUUGCAUUUUAUCUUGAGGCGUCAGUUUUCUUUGAAGAUCGAGGAAUAUAGUGUUAGACAAUUAUGCUAUUCAUAUUUAUAUCAUGAGUUAGCUUAGUCGGCCGAUGAUGCCUACUGAGUACCCAUGGUUUUUGCACUUAUAUUAACUAUUAUACCUUUCUAGUGCAGAUUCGAGUACUAAUUGUCGUCGUUGAUUCGAGGAUUGUGCUACGUUUGAUUCAAAGUUAAGGUGAGCUUAUAGAGUCGGAGUUGCCCCAUUUCCUUCUAUCUUACUUAUGCAGAGUGUCUAGUUUUGAGUCAAGAUUUUAUUGACUAUUUUAGACUUGGGUUGCAUUUAUAGUAGCUCUUAUACUGGCUCUACCAAGUCAUGGGAUGAUUUUCUAUUUUAUGGCUACCUUAUGAUUGUUUCUGUUAUAUUGCUUACUUAUGUAUUUAAUUGCCUAUUUGGCCCUUUUUGGGCCGUUUCCACCAAGUUAGCCCAUUACAAAUAACUUCGAGCUAGGUUUUGACUUACCUACUAGGGUGAAAGUGUAGGUGCCAUCAUGACUCGUAAAUCGGUUCAUGACACACUACAUCUUAGAAAAUACCUUUUAAUCAUGAUUUUGAAAUGAGUUUCUAGGUUUUUAGCAAUAAAGUUUAAACAUGGAUUUUCUUCAUUUUGGACCUUGCCUUUAACCUUUUUUACAUGGGUUUUCAGAUAUCGACUCCUAUAACCUUGAAAAAUGUAUUUCUAAAUUAACAUUUUAAUUUUACCUUUUCAUUUUUAAACUUGUUUCUGACCCAACUUAAAUAUGGACAAUAUGGUUAUCAUUAGCUUCUUUUUUAAGUGUAAAAGCUAUUUUUGAAUAUUGUAUUUUAUUCCAAGGACCUUUGUAAGGAGAAGGCUCAAUGUUGAAUCACUUUAAGCUUUGAUUUUGCCAUUUUGAGGUAUGUUAUGGCUCAAUCUUUUUUCAAACUGAGUUGGGUAGUUAAUAAAUAAGUAAAGUAUGCUAUCGGUCGAAAAAAUAACUAUGGAGUUAAUAUUGCAAGAUAAUUAUUUCUCUUGUGUGCCCGUGUAGAAGCUUCUAUUCUAUUAUUAUUGACAUGCGAUAUUUGAUAUUGUGUGUUGAACGAACUGGAGCUUAGUCUGACAUUAUUGGCAUUAUUUACGCAUUUAAAUGCCUUUGUUCUAGAUAUUAUGAUCAUACAUGGGAUUGAAUUGUUUUUUAAGGAUUUUUUUGAGUAUUAGUUUCCCUGACAUGAUAGAAAUGAUUGAGUUAGGAAUUGACAUGGCCUUAGUGAUGUCUUAUAUACAUACUUUCUCCGAUGAUGCCUAAGUAGUGUUGGUAAUCAUGAAGUUUGGACAUAUUGAAUUGAUUCUACGAUCACUUAUAUAGUUGUUUGAAGGAUUGGAUACUUUAUUUUGAGUUGAUUAUGAGUAUUACAUCCUCAUUUCUAUGCAUAUACUUUCAUGAGAUACUAGUACCAUUAAAUAAUAAUAUUUUGAAAGAAAAUGAGACAUUUUCUUAUAAAAAUACUCUCUGUGAACACGAGCUAGAGAGGUGGGUUAAGAUUUGAGAUACGACAUAUAGUAUAUGAAUUGCGAACCCCAUGAGUCCUACCUAGGAGCUGCAAGCUCGAUAGGUGUAUAUAGAAAGUCAUGUGAUAAAUUUCACCAUUCAUCCCAUCCACAUUGCAUUUUUUUGCAUUGGAUAGACAUCAUUAAUGAUUUUCUUUAGUUCAUUGACUUGUGUAUAGUUUUCGUAUAUUCAUCAUGUAUAUUUGUGCUAUUUUAAUUUCUAUAUGCAUAAUAUACAAAUUAGAAUUACUAGUGGAGAUAGAGUGAGCUACCAUUUUAGACUUUUCUACUUGCAGGUGGCGAGCUCAUAGUGUUAUUUACUUACCUUAUUUUAUAUUUUGCUUAGUCGGCCUAUGAUACCUACUGAGUACAAGUGGACUUAUAAUGACUCAAAUUUUGGUGAUUUAUGUGAAAAGUGUCUUUUGUGUGAUUUGACCUUUUUUUACCUCUCCACGUGGUUGCUUUGUGGUAUUUCUAGAGUAUGGGUAUGUUUGGCCUGAUUUUCAAUGUAUUUUGGUAUGAUUUUUUUGAUAUUGUGGUUUUUGGUGGGUUUGAGAGCCUUAUAGUUGACUUUGGUCAAUAUUUGUUGAUUUGUGUAUCAGAUGGAAAAACGAGUUGUGCCAAUAAAUCUGGAAUGUCAAUUGUAGGGUGGUAACAUGGUUGGUAUGAUUUUAUGUCUUUUAUAUAUCAUUUUGACCCUCAGUUUUGAAAGUUGUGAAUUGGAUUUUGAGUGGUCAACUUUGUGAAAAAGAUGUUUUCUCAAAAAUCAAAUUCUCCAUUGAAUCCGGAGCAUCGAUUUGAUAGGGUAGCAUUUUUUUUGUUUUCACAGGAUUUUGGAUGAAUCUCGAGGAAUCCACAGGGACUUGGAGCCUAUAUAAACAAUUGUUUCCCUAUUUUCCCCAUUUUGGAGACUUGGAGCUUAGGGUUUCACACUUUUGAGCAUUUUAUUUCCAUUUCUAAGCUUGGGUAAGCUUCUAAACACCUAUUUCAACUACUUUACCCAAUUUUAUUAUCGAAUUCUUGUUUUAAUGUAGAUUAAAGUGGAAAAUUGAGGAUUUUGGGUCGGAAGACCAAAAAAAUUGUAUUUUUUUGAUUCAAACCCAGUUUUCAAUUUGUUUUCACUUACGUAAGUUUCUAACCUUAUGCUUCCUCCAUUCUAAAAUAAUUAAAUUAUUGGGGUAUGGCACGCCCCUUAAUAAAUUUUUUAGGACAUAAAUUAUAGGUUACUUUCAACUAUUACCCUUUUAAUUAUUCGCAAAUUACUCUCCUAAAAAAUUUGAAGUACUUAAGAACCUCCUUAAAUGAAAGGUUAAAAUUGGAAGAAAUAUCAACAUGUUUCUUGAACAAUGAACAAUUCAAUUAUUUGGAACAUUAAAAAAUAUCUUAACAAUUCAUUUAUUGUGGAAUGAAGGGAGAAGUUAUUAGUUUUCUCUCUAUUUUAUCUUCAAAACAACUUCAGAUUUUUGAUUUCAAAAAGAAAUUUUGGAGAUUUUGCUGUAAAGCUUAACCAUGGGUUUUCUUCAAUUUAAACCUCGUUUUAAACUUAUUUUUAUUUGGAUUUUUAGCUGUAGACUCCUAAAAAUAUGAGAAACAUAUUUCAAAUAUAAAAUUAUGAUUUUCUUUAGAAACCAUUUAAGAGGUUUGUUUUAGCCCGACUUAAAAAUAGGCAAUAAGGGUAUCGUUAAAUUUCUUUUGAUGCAUAGAUUUUAUAUUUCUAUAUUUUAGUUUAUUCCGAGUCCAUUUGGGUAGAGUUAGGCUUUAGAGUGAAGGCUUGCAGACCAGUUUUCUACAUUCGAGGUAGGUUAUGGCAUAACUUUCUUCAAACUAGGAUGGGUAGUUAAUGUUGAUACAAAAUUAUGUUAAGGGUGUGGGUAUUAAUGAUGAACAUGGAUGAAUUAUUGUGUUGUGCCCAUAUGGGGGCCUAUAUUAAUGUACUUGCUAAAUUUGGUAUUAUUUGCUAUGUGUGAUUGUAUGGGGUCUUAUAUGCUAUUAUUGGCCUGAUUUAUCUGAAAUUAGUUGUACCUUGUUUAAUGUAAAAGCCUAAUGUGGUAUCAACGGUAUAUUUGAUGAAUUUGACUCUAUUGGCAUAUGGUUUAUGUUGGAUUUCAUAGAUGGUUGCAAAUAUUGAGUGGAUUAUUGGCUCACUUCGUUGGUAUAUUGGUUGGAUAUAGAAAGACUCAAUCUGGUUGAUAGUUAGCAUUAGAUCCUUAUGUCAUAUAAAUUCAUGAGACAUUGGUACCACUAUGGAAAUACUGGAAAUAUUAGAAACAUUGGCUUAUUCUGAUAGAAAAUGUGACAUCUUAAAAUCCCUCUAUCGAAAGAUGUGUCAGAGAGGAUAUAUGGAUAUGAUAUUGUAUAUGGAUUGUAUACGGGUUGAUGAACCCCCCAUAGGUCCUACACCAGGUAGCUUAAUCUUUGUAGGUAUAUACGGAUGUUGUGCAACAUCCUCGUGCAUCAUAUCAUCAUCAUCAUCUUUAUUAAAUUUACAUUGUUGUGCUUAUGUUGUCAUUGUAUUUCCAUCUUUACAUGUUACCUAACCUUUUUUCUACUUUUCUUUACAUGUGUUGAUGUUUAUGUAUAUGUAUUUUGUCCUUCUUUUCUCUAUUUGUAUUUGUUAUAUGUGUGCAUAUUAGAACUAUUAGUGUAGAUGGUGUGGGCUACCGUUAUGGGAUAUUUUCUGAUUUUCGGUGAUAUGCCCUUAGUGUGUAUUUUGCAUGCUUUAUUUUCUACUUUGCUCAGUCGGAGUAUGAUACCUAAGAGUACAAGUGGACCAUACUCACCCCUAUUGUGCCCUUUUCGUGCAGAUCCUAGUUUGAGUGUGCCUCACGGUGGUUGACUUCGGGCGAUACUUUAGAUCCAUCUCUUUAUUCGUAUUUUAGAGACAAAGUUGUUCCUAUUUUUGAUAUCUUAUGUAUUUUGAUCUCGAGUUGUACUAGUGAUGUUCUUAUAUUAUAGCACCAAGUUUUGGGAUUAUGGUAUUUAUUGAUUAUAUCUUUUUUCUUUACUAUAUUUUGUGGUUUGGCUUUAUUCUAGAAGCCUUACAUGGGUUAUUUCUAUUAUUUUUCCUUUUUGUAUCAGUUUAUUGGAUAGGAUUGCAUGUCAAUGGUUUUCCCAACAAGUGCCAUCAUGACGCUUGGUCUUUGGGUCAUGACAAUCGAUAUCAAAGCAACCAAGUUCAUUGGUCUCAACAAUGUUAGAACAAGAUGUCUAAUAGAGUCUCACAGAUAGAUAUGUAGAUGUAUGUAUCUAUCUUAGAGAGGCUAUAGCAUGUAUUUAGGAAAUUUCCAUCAUUUUGUUCCUUAUUAUGUAUAUUUCUUUCGUACCUUAUAUUAUAAGUCAUAUUUACUCUUUGUAGGUAGAUGGUGAUGACUAUAUCUACGGAGGUUAGAGAUGCUGAGCCUUUAUAUGAGGGAAGAUCCUAGUCUAGAGUGUGAGUUGCAAACCUUGGAGGGGAUCGAGGUUGUCGAUAGGUACAUGGAUCUGCCCCAUCCAGGAGAAGUACUAGGGGACUUACCUUGAGCCUUAUGUUGAUCAUGUUGGAGAUUUUGGUCCUACUUUAGUCCCACUUAUUUUUUCAACCCCAAUCUUGGAGGGGUUUUUGAUUCUCUUGUUGAACCAUUUUCUGAUUAUUGUACCCCUAUCUGUGUUAGAGUCUAUUUAUGGCAUUCCUCCAACCAAUAUAGAUCCUCCAGUUGCCCCUACUUCUUCUUUGGUACUCCACAGACUUCUAGUGUUAUUCCUUUUUCAGCACCUGUAUCCAAGUAUGGUAUUUGAGGUUAGGAGUUCAGCCUUUCUCUAUGUUUCCUCCUCCGAUGGUGUCUCAGCCAACUAGAUUCACCAUGCCUCCUCUUUUGGAGAGUAUAGUCAUGUGUUUGAGGAUUAGAAGGGGUUUGAGAGGUUUACUCGUUUGGGCCCUUAGGUUCAGUAGUGCUGUGGGCGAGGAUUCCUAUGAGUUCUUGAUCGAUUGUCGUGAGAUAUUGCAUAACCCGUGUUCACUUAAGUCACACAGUGUUGCAUAUAGUACUUAUUAGUUGAUCGAUGCCGCUAGAGAUUGUUGUGAGAAGUUGCAUAACCUAUGUUCACUUCAAGCAUCUGUCUCCAAAUCUCCAACUUAUCAUUAACUCCACUCUGAGUCUCGUCAAUCAGAACCACAUCAUCUGUAAAUAACAUACACCAAGGCACCUCUCCUUGAAUAUGUAGCAUCAAAACAUCCAUCUCCAAGGAAAAAAGAAACGGGCUAAGAUUCGAUCCCUGAUGCAACUCUAUCAAAAUUAUGAAGUGCUCCGAAUUUCCACCUACCAAAUUCUAGGAACCAAAAAAGUUUAACUUACCACUUCUGAGAGAGUCAAAACUAGGUUAAUGCAUUUAAUUUUAAAGUUUUCCUUUUGGGGUUGUCAACGUGUUGACUAAAUUAGUUGGCUUUGGUACGUCAGUGGAACUGACUUAUUUGAAUUAUUUUGGAAUUUCUACAAAAAGAAAUUUACAAUAGGGUGGUGUCUAUUUGCUGAGAGAGUCCUUCAUGUUUGAUGGCUACCAAAGGAUUGAGUCAGUUGUAGUUGCAACUGUAAAGCUGCUACCUGAAAGCUUGUGGUUUGACUUGUCUUAGAGGUGAUGGUCAUCCUGGCUUCCUUGUAUUGUUUGUCAGCUUAUUCUAGAUGAAGUCACGUGUUAAAGACAAUUUAUUUUGACUCUUCUUCUCUCAAAGAACAAAAUUUCAACAUAGCUAAUCUAUUUGAAUUAGAUAAAAACAAAUGAUCUACACUACAAUACUGAAGAAAUCAAUUAUACCCAUAUAAAGUUGUCAUGAUAACAUAAAAGAAAAAAUGUAUCAAGAUUUUCUAUACUCAAAAUAUCAGAUGUUCUCUCUACCAGUUGAACUUGAAAGCUUGAAAUCCUGGGGAGUAUCCUUCCACUCAUUUAGAAUUGUUAUCGGAUCUCUGGAAUGAAAAAGAUCUAUGAUACUUGUUUAUGUACUUAGGUGUAAAGUUUUGAUACGAAGUUUCUUUUUAUAAUUUUUCUCAGAAAUUUCAAGUCAGUUCAAAGUCCUUGUGUUCUGGAAAAUUCAACUUCUUGUAAUCUAAGUAAUGAUAUAACAGUUAGUAGAGGAAGGCAGAUUUAAACAACAUAAGGUUCAUAAUUGUUGUUUUCAUUUGGUUCUUGGAAUUUUGGGUGUUGCUUAUUUUUUAAUCUCUAACUAGUGUUUCCUGAACUUGGUUUCUUCUUAUGUAAAUUGUGAAAGGCAUUAGAGCAUUAUAUCUUAGAUAGUAGAGUUGCAUUUAUUUUUAGAUAAUAAAUUUUGCUGAUUUUUUACUGGCCACCAAUCACUGUGGACAAGAUUAGAAUUAUGAUUGGCAUCCUCCAGAGGCUACCUUGUAUUGUAUACGAGCUAUAUCAGAUUAUGUUUCUGAUAUUGAAGCUGAAAUGAUACCACAGGUUUGAAUGAUGAUUGAAAAUUAUGUCCAUUCAAAUUUGUUCUACUUAAGAAAUUGUGUUAACUUAUUUUUCUUCUUUGCUGCCUUACUAUUUUAACUUGCAGAUUAUGUCUUUGCUUCAUAAGCUACCUUAUCAGCUCCAUCUACUUCAAACAGAUAGUUAAUUUAUUCUCUUUUCGGCAUUUCAUUCUAUUGUCAUUCGGUUAGCUUCCAACACCUAGUUUCCUUCAAAAUCACUCCAAAAACACAUCAAACCCAACAAAAUAGCCUUAAUUAUAUGCGUAUUCUCCAAGUUUAAGCACCAUUAGUGACAUAAAACCAUGGCAUAUCAAGACCUUUAACUUAAAAUAAUGAAUGUCUUCAGGCCACAAAAACAUACUAAAACAACAUGCCGAUGCUUAACCAAGAGAAACCUAAGAUAUAUAUGGCAGUUAAUCAUUAAUUUUUAUCUCAAAACACAUUACCAUCACAAAGUUUAACACAUUCAAACCAAUUGUGCUUAUCUAUGAAACACACCAAUGUUACACAAAGGAAUAAAUUAAAACCAUACAUAUGUACAAACUUUAGUAUAAAGUUUAACACAUUAAAACCAUACAUAUGUACAAGUUACACUAGCAAAAUAAGAAAGAAGGAAACAACACAACCCAUGCACCCUCACAUCAAAGAAAUGCCAACCACUCAAUAGCAUGAUGUAUGUCUUUGCAUUUAUAUAAUGACUCUUAGGUUAUUUUCCAUAUUUCCACUUAUUUUCACCGUAAAAUCUUUUCCAAAGAUACCCUAACUCAUUUAUGACAUUCUAGGAUAGAUAUUUCAUUUAAUGGACUAUUCAUUUGGUUUUCAGAGCCAAUUCCCUAUUUUGAAGCAUUCUAUGGUUCCAAAUGGGUACCGGGCAAAAACUUUAGUAAAAAAACCUCGAAUGCAAAUUUUGAUUGUGCCAAAAGCUUUGAAAUGUUGAUUUUAUGCUAGGUGAACCUUUGGUUAUGAUUCCUAUGAACCCGAGCUUAUUUUAACCUAUUAGUCAAAAGUUGGAGAAAUUGGAUAUUAGGUGUGGGACUUAUAUUUGGUAGAAACAACCUAGGAUAGAAAAUCUGAUUAUGCUAUCACAUCUGAAACGUCUAAUUUAGUAUAGUUACAUAGCUCAUUUAUGUAGAUGGGGUUCUUAAUGAAUCUCGAGGCAUUGUCUUAGACUUGGAAGAAUUCUAAGACUUCAACUAUCAUCUGGUUCCAUGGCUAUCACCAUCUUUAGGCCCCACGAUCGUACAUAAGAAUUGCGAUCGUUACUUAUUGUGAAACCACAUAUUGUGGAGAUCGCAUACCUUUCCAGUCAUGAUAGAUACAUCUAAUUACCUAUAUGGGGUAUAAAUAGACCCUUUAUGUUGUGAAUUAGCCUAUUUUUCAUCCAUACCUUGAGACAAAAAAACUAAGGAGUAGGAUAUCUAAAAAUUGAUACUUGUGGGUGACUUAGGAGUUUGAUUAACAUCGAUUUUUAUGAUUAUUAUUUAUAUUUUAACCUUUUCAUGGCAAAUUUUAGUGAAUUAUUGACCAAAACCCUAAGUAGCUUGAUGGAUUGAUUUUAGCCCAAUUUAGCUUGGUUUUUACCCAUUUUUGAGGGUUAUGAUUCUUUGAUUAUGUAUGAAAAUUGGUUUGGCCUAAAAUAGUGAUUUUCUUAAGUAUGACCCAGAUAGGUUUUUUUUUUGGUCCUGAAGAACAAUGGUGUAAUAUGGGUAUUGUUAUUCUAGUAUUUAUAGGUAGAAUAUGAUUUUGAUAGGUUGGCAUCUUGUAGAGGCAUCUUAAGAGGGAAUAGAAAAGGUUUAGCCGUUCGUUGAACUUUCUUUGACGUCGAGGUAGGGUAUGUUUAUCCUUUGUUAGAUUGAGCUAUGUCAUAGUAUAUUUAUGAAAUCUUCUUAGAUUGGGAUGGUUUUUGGCAUUGGAUUGAUGAAAUGCAAUACUUGGGACUAGUUAUAUUAUUUUAGUCAUUUGAGUCUGUAGAGUUGGAAUAUUUAGCUUGCUGCCUUGAAUCUUAGUGAAUAAGACUUCAUUAUUCAUGUUUAGCAUGAGAAUUUUCUAAAUUACUCAAAUUAGGUUAAAAUGCAUUAGACCCUUAUGCUUAGGAUAAGUUGGCCUUAAUUUCUAACACUAAUAAAAGUUGCCUUAGUUUUAUUAGACUUAGUUAUAGUGCUUGAAUGGAAUCUCUACCUUAGGACUAAUUAUGGCUUACUAUGGAUCUAAGAGUUAAUUAGAUACCUUAGCCUAGUUUGGGGUAGAAAUUUGACUUUGAAUGUAGUUUGGGGAUUUAGAAAUGGGAUCUUAACCCACCUUAAGACAAGAUUUAUAUAGUUCUCUUAAAACCCUUAUAGUCUUAUUAAAUGCCUAGAUAAUGCCUUUUGAGGAAAUAUAGAGGAACCAUGGUAAUGAAUUAUGGUGAUGACCUUGGAGGUAAUGUUCAUGGUCUAAUUGACUAGCUUAUCGAUUAUAUUAUAUGAAUUAUUGAUUAUGCUAUGAAAUACGCCCAUGACUAUGUGGUGAUUAAGUCAUUGAUUAGGCUAUUAUUCGGGCCUUUGACUAAGCUAUUGCUCAUGCUAUGAUCAUGCUUGUUAAUAAUGCUAGUAACUAUUUUACAAAUCUUUCUUAUUGAUGAUAUUGGAAAAUAUGAUAUUGAUGAUGCCAGAAGGCACGCUUAAUGAAUAUAUAGAAAGUUCUAUUACUAAUAAAGUUAUAAAUCACAAUACUUCAUUAUAUGAUUGCUUAUUUUAUUAAUUUUGCCAUUAUGAUUAUGUGUGUAUAUAUAUAUUGAUACUCAGUAAGGCAAAGGAUAUUAUGAUGAUAUCCGACAAAAUUGAAGGAUAUUGUGAUAAUAUUGAUACUCGAUAAGGCCAGAGGAUCACAAUGAUGAUAUAUACCUUGUAAGGCCAUAUAUUUAUUAUGGUGAUGCAUUGAUACCCAACAAGGCCGGGGGAUGAUUAUAUUGAUGCGUUUAUGUUUACAUCUACCAGUUUAAGUCUAACUAGCCCUAUGUAUGACAUUUAUAUGCUUAUAUACUUAUGUAUAAUAUGGGUACGAUAAUGAUAUUAGAAAUAUUGGUUAUAGCCCACUAGUGAUAACUACAUAUAAAGUGUAUAGUUGAUAAUUAAUGUUAAAUAAGGAUUAGUGGUGUAUAUUUUUUAAAUAAUUAAUAUGAAAUAGUUGAUAAUUGAGAAUUAGUUGUAAAAAGAUGUUUAGUUAGUAAAUGAUGUUAGUUGAUAAAUAAUGGUUGGAUAAUGAAUGUUGGUGAACGAAUGAAUAUAUGGUAAAUAGUUGCCUAAGUGAUGACUAGUAAUCUAAAGAAUUAAUUAAUGUGAUAUGGUUUGCUAAUAAGUGGUGAUAAGUGAGGAAUAAUGAUAAGAUGGUUAAUGAUGAUAACCUUAUGAAAUAUGGGCUUUUUACCGAAUAUUGAUAAAUUAUGGAAUAAUAGUUGAAUGACGAUGGAAGGUGGUUAUAUGUUGGUUAAUUUCUUUAUUAUUCUAUUGGGUGUACUCUGUAGUUUUAUGGGAGGUUGGGAUGAGUUCUUUACUUUUCUACACUAGUUGGUGUAUGGGAGCCAACAUUGAAGUUAUUUUUGCUUGUGUUGAUGCUUUGUAAUGCAUUAUUAUUCUGAAUUGUUGAUUUAUUAUGCACGACAUUAUGGGGAUGUGUUGAUGCCUUAUGUUAUACUUUUAUUCCAAUUUAAUUACUUAUUAUAAAUAGUGGUAUUAGAGGUGAUUCAUGUUCAUUUCUAUACCUUGACUUAGGUUAUAUUGUCUCUCAUUUUAUCUUUCUUAUAUCAUGAUUUACCUUAGUCGACCGAUGAUGCCUACUGAGUAGCUAUUUUUUGGUACUCAAACUACACUUUUAUACCUUUUUGGUGUAUAUCCAAGUACUAGUUGCUUUCAUUGAUCAAAGUUUAUGUGAUGUGAAUAUUUUAGAUAUAGGGUGAGCUCUUCAAGUGCUAGUCGCCCAUUUUUUUCUAUCAAUAUGUUUAAAUUUUUGUUUUUAGAUAGAUGUAAUGACUAUUGUUAGACAUUUGGGUUGUAUUAUUGACCUUAGAUGCUAUUGAACUAACUCUACUAGGUUUUGGGAUUGGUAUCAUAUUUGAAUCUUUUAUUUAUUUAGAACGGCUUACAUAUUAUUUAAGUGUGUUUCUUAUUUCUACCUAAGUUGGGAAAUUUCCUACAAAAUUAACCUAUUACAUUAGCUCUGGGUUAUGGUUUGGCGUACCUAUAGGUGGGCUUUAGUAGGUUCCAUCAUGACUCAUAAAUCAGGUCAUGAUAAAUUGGGAUUAAAGCCCAGGUUUUACUAAUAUUGUUGGUACAAGAGCAAGUGUCUAGUAGUGUCUUGCAGAUUGGAAUGUUGACGCAUGUUUCCUUUCUUUGGGAGGAUAUGGAACAUUCGUAGGAGUUCAUCACUUCUUUCAUUUAUAUUGUGCUAGGAGUUAGAUUUGGUUUGUAGAGUAUUUCUUGGCUUUAAUCUUUUGUAGAUGGCCGGGACACGUGCUGCUACACGAUAUGACGGUCUUAACAUCGAGUGUAGGGAUCCAACUCUUAUUUUUGAUAACCUAGAGGUCAUGGAAAACCACAGGAUAUGUCCCAAGCUAUGGGCCAAGGUAGGCCACCUUCCCCAGACCUUAUUCUUACACUUGAGCCAAAAAUUCUUCUUCCGCAUCCAACGGUGGGCCAGGGACCAACCCAAGCUGCACUAGGGUUUUUUUAUUCUUUGAUGCUCAAAUAUGGAUUGGUUUAGCUUUUGGGUUUAGUUGGUGGUGCAUCAUCAUAUGCACUAUUUAUGAAUUAAAGUACAACUAAGAUGAGGGCACAACUUGUAGCUGCGUCUUACAAAGUUAAGGUAUCUCCUACAUCAAUGGUUUCACAGUUGGUAGUUACUCAGCUAGUAGUUGCCCAACCUGUUAUAUCUUUCAAAGAGAAAAAAAUAUUAGGUAGAUUCUUGAGGUUGCUCCAUCUAGGUUUUCUGGUACAAUAGGCAAUGAUGCAUAUGAGUUUUUGAUUAAUUUUGAGGAUAAGUUUCAUGGUUUAGGCCUUCUUGAGACUCAUGGUAUGGAUUAUACCAUAUUUUAAUUAGACUGGUUUGCUCAUCUUUGAUGGAGAGGUUAUGUGGAUUCUAGACCAGCUGGAUCAUUUUCCUUAUCAUAGACUCAGUUAUCCAAGAUAUUUUUACAGAUGUAUAAGCCUCACAACCUUACAGAUCAUCUGAGAGAUCAGUUCUCUAAAUUAGAGCAGGAUGCAAUAGUAGUUGCAAAGUAUGAGGCUCCUUUUAAUGAGUUGGCUAGGCAUCCGACUUCUAUUAUAGUUACUAAGUAUGAAAGAGUUUGCUACUUUGUUGGAGGGUUGAGUCUUCCUAUUCAUAUAGAUACUCAGAGUUAAGUUAUUAUGGGUAGGUACUUUGUUGAGGUAUUGUAUCAUGCCAGGGUAAUAGAGGAGAUGCUCUAUGAGAGUCAUAAGGGCCGUGAUAAGAGGCCUAGGUUUUAGGGAAGAUUUUGUAUUAGCUAUGGUAGUUUUGGAUUCAGAGGAGAUAGUUCUUAUGUUGGGUAUUCUCCACAUUCGUCUUUUUUAGACUCAGAGUCAGCCUAGUCUACAGUUCAGGUAUCUCUUCAGACUAUAAAUGGAGUUCAGUCUACUACAAGAGACCUCUCUAGUCUGGGUGGUGGUUAGUUUUCAAGAGAUUCAUAUUCUGGUCAUUCUAGAUGUGGUAGUUAUUCUUGGUCAGCUAGAUCUGGUGGUUUUGGUUCAACUCAUGUUUCCAUUUUUACUUGUGGACAUCCUAGUCACUAUAUGCGAGACUGCCCUAGUCAUGGGGUAAUUGUUUCUUUAACUUAGAGUGUUCCCCAUAUCAAAGAAGUUUAUCCCUCAGCUAUAGGUGGUUCUUAUUGUCAUAGAGAUGGUUAUCGUGGUACUCGAGGAAUUUAUCAGGCUGGUAGGAUAGGAGGUUAGUCAGGUGCCUAAAAAAUUGGUAGGUAUGGUCAAUUUUAUGCACUACCUGCUAGAACCGAGGUGGACACUUUGAAUUUUAUGGUUAUAGGUACAAUUUUGGUACGCCACUAGUUGGCCAAUACUUUAUUUGAUUCAGGAUACACUUAUUCCUAUAUUUCUUCUUAUUAUGCACCACAGUUGGAGUUGUUUUGUGAUUCAAUAUUUGUACUAUUGUGCUUAUUUAAUUGAGUGAGUGAUUCUAUAGGAGUGGAUUGCAUAUUUAUAUCAUGUGUUAUGAUUAUCAAGGAUGUUGAUACUUAUUUUGAUCUUAUUAUUCUGGAUAUAGCGGAUUUUGAUAUAACUCUGGGCAUGGACUGGUUAUACCACUAUGAUGCGGUUAUGGAUUGCUUUUCUAAGACCGUUACCUUUGCCAUUUCUAGCUUAUCCUCGGUAGUAUGGCAGGGACCAGCAAGUUGCUAGGUGAUGGGGAUUAUUUCUUAUGUUCUUAAUAGAAGGUUUAUUUUGAGAGAUUGUGAUUCUUAUCCCAAUUAUAUUUGUAGUACUAGUAUGGAGAGUUUUUUUACUUCACUCUAUUCUUGUCAUUUUUGAGUUUCCUAGUGUGUUCCCUAUCGACCUGUCUGGUAUUCCCCCUUUUCGUGAGACUUUGUUUGCUAUUGAUCUUAAGCUUGACACCUAACCUAUUUCUAAGGUGCCUUACCAUAUAGCUCUAGCCAAACUUAAGGAGCUAAAUUCUUAAUUACAUGAUCUUCUUACUAAGGGUUUUGGUAGACCGGGUGUGUCUCCUAGGGGUGCUCCUAUAUUGUUUGUGUAGAAGAAUGAUGGGUCUAUGCAUAUGUGUAUUGAAUAUAGGCAACUUAAUAAAGUGACGGUGAAGACCCAUUAUCUUAUGCCUUCCUAUACCUCAUAUUGAUGAUUUGUUUGAUAAGCUUCAGGGUGUAGAAGUAUUUUCUAAUAUUAAUUUAAGAUUUGGUUAUCAUAAGUUGAGGAUUCGGGCAGAGGAUAUCCUGAAGAUAAAUUUUAGGACACGUUAUGGUCAUUAUGAGUUCUUAGUGAUGUCAUUUGGGUUGACUGAUGCCCCAACCGUGUUCAUGAAGUUGAUGAACGGAGUAUUAAGGCCUUAUUUGGAUUAAUUCAUGACUGUGUUCAUCAAUGACAUCCUUGUGGUAUUCGAGAAAUAGAGAGAAUCAUACACAGUAUUUGAGGAUCGUGCUCUUGACUUGGAGGGAUAAUAUGCUUUUUGCCAAGUUCUCUAAGUGUUAGUUUUUUCUUAAGUCGAUGGUAUUUCUUAGACAUGUGGUGUCUAAGAAUGGAAUUAUGGUAGAUCCAACUAACAUUGAGGCGAUAUGGGUUUGGGCUAGACCUUUAUCUCCGAUCGAGGUUCAUAGCUUUUUUGGUUUGGCUAGUUAUUAUAAAUGCUUCAUUAAGGGAUUUGUUACUAUUUUAGCCUCUAUGACGAGUGACUCGAAUAAAGGUUCCUUUUCAAUGGUCUAAGAAGUAUGAGUCAAACUUUGGAAAGCCCAAGGAUUUUCUCACUCUAGCUCCUAUUUUAGCUCUUCUUGUUGAACGUAAGGGAUUUAUCAUAUUUUGUAAUGCUUUUGGUGUUGGUCUAGGUUGUGUACUGAUGUAGUAGGGUCGUGUUAUUACUUAUGAUUCUAGAUUUGGAGUUGGGGGCAGUAGUUCUUAUGCUUAAGAUUUGGUGGCAUUAUCUUUAUGGUGUGCAUUGUGAGAAAUUUACUAAUCAUCAUAGUCCCCAACAUCAUAUGACCCAGGGGGAGAAAAAUUUUAGACAACGUAGAUUGAUGGUGUUGCUCAAGGACUAUGAUAUUUUGAUCUUGUAUAAUUUGGGAAAGACAAAUAUAGUAGCGGAUGCCUUGAAUUAAAAUAUAGUGAUUAUGGGUAGCUUGUUUUAUAUUUCAGUUUUUUAAAGGCCAUUGUCACGGGACAUUCAGUCCUUAGCCAACUUGAUGGUCCACCUUGAUAUUUCAGGUCCUAGGAGGAUUUUGGCUCUUAUGGAGAUGAGGUCCUCACUAUUUGAGAAAAUUUGUUAUUGGCGAUUUGAGAAUAACAAGUUUCGCUUACUUCGAGAUCGGUUGUUGAGUAGUGAUUCUGAGAGGGUUACCAUUGACUCGGAGGGUCUUUUGAGGUUUGAAGGCUAAAUUUGUGUUCAACAAAUUGAUGAAUAGAUUUAAUUGAUUUUGAUGGAGGCUCACAGUACUAGAUAUUCUAUUCACCACGGGAUAGGCAAGAUGUAUACGUAUUGAGGCAACAUUAUUGAUGGAGUAGUAUGAAGAGAGAUGUGGAAGAUUUUAUAGCUCAUUGCCUAUGUUGUCAACAUAUAAAGGUCGAGCAUUAACAUCUAGUGGUUUGACUAAAAGGUUUCCCCAUCCCGAGUUGAAAUGGGAACAUAUUACCAUGGAUUUAGUUAGUGGAUUACUUCACACUUCCUGUGGUUCCGAUGGUAUUGGGGUCUUUGUCAAUCAUUUGACCAAGUUAGCAUAUUUAAUUCCUUUCAGAUGUCCUUUGGUGCUGUGAGGUUGGCCCAUAUCUAUGUUCGAGAGAUAGUUAUUUGUAUGGUGUUCCUAUUCCUAUUAUUUUUUACCAUCAUUCUGUGUUCACUUUGAGAUUUUGGAGAGCUUUUCAGGAGGAUUUGGGUACUUGGUUGGAUCUUAGUACAACCUUUUAUCCAUAGACCUACGCCCUAUCUAAAAGGACUAUUUAUGAUCUUAUGGAUAUGCUUUGAGCUCGUGUUAUGGAUUGUUAUGGCUAGUGGGAAAAUACUUAGCCUUGGUAGAGUUUGUAUACAAUAACAACUACCAUUAGAGUAUUGAUAUGGUGCCUUUUGAGGCUUCAUAUGGUAGGAGAUGUCAUUCUUCAGAGGGAUGGUUUCAGACUUCUGAGGUUAGAACCCAUGGUACAGAUUUUCUUUAGGAGUCAUUUGAUAGAGUCAGGGUGAUUCAGGAAGAUUGAGAGUGACUAAGAGUAGGCAAAAGGCCUAUACAGAUAGUAGGAUUUAUGACUUGAGAUUUGGAGUUGGUGACCAUGUAUUCCUUCGUGUAUCACCAAUGAAAGAGUGCGCUGAGGUUUGGGAGGAAGGGAGAGCUUAGUUCUAGAUAUAUUAGACCUUUUGAAAUUCUCAACCAUAGUUUGUGAGGUAGCUUAUGAGUUAUCUGUACUUCAAGAUUUUAUUGCUAUUCAUCCAUUUUCCAUGUCUCUAUGUUGUGCUGAUAUAUUCCAGUUCUAUCUCAUGUGCUUAAAUGGAACUCUAUCCAGUUCAAUAAGCGUUGACCUUUAUAUAGUAGUCGGUGCUUAUUUUGGCUAGAGAUAUAAAGAAAUUAUGUACUAGAGAUUCCUGUUGUCAAAGUUCAAUGGAGGCAUUGCCCAAUAGAGGAGGCCACUUAGAAGAUCGAGGGUAAGAUACGAGCCCAGUAUCCUCACCUAUUUGAGACUUCAAGUACAUCUUAAUCAUUAACAUUAGCAAAUAAAAAUUUAUGUCUUGCUAGGACGGAUAGUUUGGUUAUGGGGUAGUUUGCUUGAUUUUUAAGCCAGUUCCAUAUUUUGAAGCCUUUACUGGUUCCAAAGGGCUACUGGGAAUAAACUUUAGUAAAAUGACCUCAAAGUAAAUUCUAAUUGCACCAACAACUUGAGAAUGUCGAAUUUAGGCUAGGUGAACCUUUGGUUUGGGUCUUGAUGCACCCGAGCUUAUUUAGGCCUACUGGUCAAAUGUUGGAGAAAGUGGAAAUUAGUUAUGGGGCCCAUAUUUGGUCAAAAUGUCCUCGAAUGGAAAAUCCGAUACUACCAUAGAAUCACAUUUGGGUAGACGGGGUUCCGAAUAAAUCCUGAGGCCUUGGAGAAAACUUGGAAAAAUUUUAAGUCUUCAAUUUUCCAUCUAGUGCCAUGGUUGUAGCCAUCUUUAGGUCGUGAUCAUGACUGUUCAUGUAGCCACAAGGUGUGGAAAUCGUAGACCUGUACAGUCGUGAUAGCGAUAUCUGAUUACCUGGAUGGAGUAUAAAUAAACCUCUUAUGUUAUGAAUUAGCUAAUUUUUCAUCCAUACCUUGAAGGCAAAAACCCUAAGGAGUCAGAUAUCUCAAAAUUAAGACUUGUUGGUGACUUGGGAGCUUGAUUAACAUCGAUUUUUGUGAUUAUCCUCUGAAUUGAGGUAAGAUUUCAACCUUUCCUUAGUGGAUUUUACUGAAUUAUUUACAAAAAACCCCAAAUAGAUUGCGGUCUUGAUUAUAGGCCCAAUUUAUUUUAGUUUCACCCAUUCUCGAGGGUUAUGAUUCCUUGAUCAAGUAUGAAUGUUGGGUUGGUCUCAGAAACGUGAUUUCCAUAAGAAGGACCCACAUGUUGUUUUUGAUGUCAUUUUUGGAUUCGAAGAAUAAUGGUGCAAUAUGGGUAUCAUUAUUCUCGUAUUGACGUGUAAAAAGUUAUUUUGAUAGCUUGGCAUCUUGAAGAGGCUUCUCGAAAGGGAAAAGCAAAGGUUUACUGGUUCGUUGAGCUUUCUUUGACAUUGAGGUAGGCUAGGUUUAUCCCUUGUUAGAUUGUGCGAUGCCAUAGUAUAUAUAAGGUAUCCUAUUUGAUUGGGAUGGAUUUUAGGUGUUGGAUUGACGAAAUGCAAGACUUGGGACUAGUUGUAUCAUUUAGUCAUUUUAGUCCGUAGAGUUUGAAUACUUAGAUUAUCGCCUUGAGAUUUAGUGAAUUAGACUUCAUUACAUAUGUUGAUUAUGAGAACACCCUAAAUUACUCAAAUUAGGUAAAAAUGCUUUAAACCCUUAUGCUUAGUGUAAGUUACCCUUAGUUGCGCACACUAAUGGAGGUUUCCCUAGUUUUGUUUGACUUAGUUAUAGUGUUUGAAUGAAAUCUAUAUCUUAGGACUAAUUGUGGCUUGCAAUACAUCAAAGAGUUGAUUCAAAUACCUUAACCUAGUCUGGGGUACAAAUUUGAUAUGGAAUGUAUUUCAGGGAUCUAUAAGUAGGAUCUUGACCCACCAUAAGUCAAGAUUUAUAUAGUUCUUUUAAAAUCCUUAUAUGCUUAUUAAAUGCCUAGUGAAUACCCUUUGAGGCAAUAUAGAGGAACUAUGGUAAUGAAUUAUGGUGAUGAUAUUUGAGGUAAUGUUCAUGGUCUAAUUGACGAGAUUACUAAAUAUACUAUGAUAAGCUAUUGAUUAUACCAUUAAAUAUGCCCAUGACUAUGUGGUGAUUAAGCCAUUGAUUAGGCUAUCAUUCAAGACUUUGACUAAGCUAUUGCUCAUGCUUAGUAACCAUCUUAGAAAUAUUUCUUAUUAAUGAUAUUGCACAUUAUGAGGUUGACAAUGCUAGAAGGUAUUCUUAAUGAUUAUAUGGGAAGUUAUGUUACUAAUUAUGUUUGAAAUCGUGAUACUUCAUUAUAUAAUUUCUUAUGUUGCUGAUUUUUUCAUCGAUUAUGAUUAUGUGUAUAUAUAUAUAUAUAUAUAUAUAUAUAUAAACCCCUAAGGUUGGCGGAUAUUAUGAUGAUAUGAUGAUACCCGACAAAGUCAAAGGAUAUUGUGAUGUUAUUGAUAACUAGCAAGGCUUGAGGAUAAUUAUGAUGAUAUAUAUCCAACAAGGUUGGAGGAUAAUUAUGAUGAUGCCUUGAUACUUGACAAGUCUAGAGGAUGAUUAUAUUGAUGUGCCUAUGUGUACAUCUACCGGUUUGAGUUUGACUAGACAUAUGUAUGUCAAUUAUAUGCUUAUAUUUACUUUUGUGCAAUGUGGGUAUGGUAAAUUAUGGAAUAAUUGUAGAAUGACAUUGAAAGUUAGUUAUAAUGUCUGUUAAUUUAUUUAUUAUUCUCUUAGGUGUACUCUACUGUCGUAUGGGAGACUGUGUUGAGUUCUUUACUUUUCUGCACUAGUUGGUAUAUGGGAGACAACUUUGUAGUUAUGUUUGCUUGUGUUGAUGCUUUAUGAUGCAUUAUUAUUAUUCCAAAUUGUUUAUUAAUUAUGCAUAACUUUAUGGGAAUCUAUUGAUUCCUUAUGCUAUACUGUUAUUCUAUUUUAAUUACUUAUUAUGUAUAAUGGUAUUGGAGGUGAUUCAGGUUCCUCUCUGUACCUUGAUUUAGUUUAUAUUAUCUCACAUUUUAUCACUCUCUUAUCAUGAUUUAAUUUAGUUGGUUGAUGCCUACUAAGUACAUAUUGUUUUGGUACUCAUACUACACUUCUAUACAUUUUUGGUGCAAAUCCAAGAACUAGUUGCCGUUGUUGAUCCGAGUUCAUGUGGUGUUGAUAAUCCAGAGAUAGGGUGAUCUCUUGGAGUCUGAGUCAACCAUUUCCUUCUAUCUUUAUAUUUAGUAUUUUGUUUUGAGAUAGAUGUAUUGACUAUUUUUAUAAAUUUGGGUUGUAUUAUUUACCUUAGAUUCUCUUGAAUAGACUCUAUCAUGUUUUGGGAUUGGUAUCAUAUUUUACUAUGUUAUCUAUUAAUGAGUAGUAUAUUAUUUAUGUGUGUUGUUCAUUUCCACAUAAGUUGGGCAAUUUCCUACUAAAUUAACACAUUGUGUUAUCUCCAGGUAAUAGUUCGGCUUACCUACUAGUGGGUUUUAGUAGGUGCCAUCAUGACUCGUAAUUUGAGUUAUGACAAAUUAGUAUUAGAGCCUAGGUUUCACCGAUAUUGAUGGUAUAAGAGAAAGUAUCAUGAAGAGUCUUGCGGAUCAGAAUGAUGACGUCCGUUUCCUAUCUUCGGGAGGCUAUGGGACAUUUUUAGGAGUUCAUCACUUCUUUUAUUCAUAUCUUGCUAAGAGUCUGAGUUGGUUUGUAGACUAUUCCUUGACUUUAUGCUUUUACAUAUGGCCAGGACAUGUGUAAUUUCUACAUGAGAUGAGGGUCCUGAGACCAAGCCUGGGGAUCUUAUUCCUAUUCAUCAACAACCUAGAGGUUUAGGACAACUGCAUGAUAUAUCCCUAGCUAGGGGAUCGAAUAGGCUUUCUUCCCUAGAUCCUAUUUUUGUACCUGAGCCAGAGAUAUUCUUGCCAUAACCAACGGUGGUCCAGGGACCAAUCCAUGCUCCACUAGGGUUUAUUUGUUCUUUGGUGCUCAAAGAUGCAUUGGUUCAACUUUUGGGUUGAGUUGAUGGUAAGUCGUCUUAUGGUGCACAAUCUAUGAAUUAAAGUGGCACUGAGGCAGGGCGUAACCUGUAGCUGCGACUCACAGAGUUGAGGUUCCUUAUGCACCGGCGGUUGCUUAGGCGGUUGUUUCUUAACCAGUGGUUGCCUAGCCUUCUAUGUUGAGGAGUAGAAGAUGUUUUAUAGAUUCUAGAGGUUGGCUUCACCUAGGUUUUUGGGUACACCGAGUGAGGAUGAACAUAAGUUUCUAAUUGCUUGUGAGGAUAGAAUUUGUGGCUUAGGUCUUGUUGAGACUUAUGGUGUGGAUUACCCUACAUUUCAGUUGGACUUUUCUGCUCUUCAUUGGUGGAGAGGUACAUGGAUUUUAGGCCAUCUGGAUAUUCUCCCUUGUUAUGGACUUAGUUUUUUAAGAUGUUCUUGGAGAGUAUAUUCCUCAAAACCUUAGAGAUCGAUCAUUUGAGAGAUUAGUUAUCUAGAUUGGAGCAAGGCUCUAUAAUAGUUGCAGAAUAUGAGGCUCAUUUUCACGAGUUAGCUAGGCAUGCGACUUCUAUUCUUGAUACUGAGUAUGAGAGAGUUUGCUGCUUUGUUAGAUGGUUGAGACUUCCCAUUCAUAUGGCUACUUAGAGUUUAGUUGCAGUAGUUAGCUCUUUUGCUGAGGUUUCAGAUUAUGCCUAUGUGAUGGAGAAAAUGCACCAUGAAAGGUGAGGGCAUUGAUAAGUGGACUAGGUUUUAUGAUAGCUUCAAUGGGAUCUAUAGUAGUUCCUUAUUCAGAAGAGGUAGUUCUCAUGUUGAGUAUUCUUUGCUUCCAUCUUAUUAGACUCAGAGUCAACUUAGUUGACCUGUUCAGGCAUCUCUUUAGAUUACUGAUGGAGGUCAAUUUAGUGAUAGAGACCUCCCUGGUCAGGGUGGCGGUAAGUCUUCGAGGGGUUCACUUUUGGUCAUUCUAGGUGUGAUGGUUAUUUCGAGUCAGUUGGAUCUGUUUGUGCUAGUUCAGCUCAUGUUUCCUAUUUUACUUGUGGACCUCUUAGUCCUUAUUUGUGGGAUUGCUCUAUCUUUGGGGAGAUUCUUGCUUAAUCUCAGAGUUUCCCCCUAUUUGAGAAGUUUGUCCUUAGUUAGAGGUAGCUUUUAUGGUCUAGGGGUGGUUCCCAGGGUAUGCGAGAAGGUUCUCAGGAAGGAGGGACAAGAGGUUAAUGUACUAUGUAUCAUGGCACUUUGUUUGCUUAAAACAUUGAAAAUAUGAAUUUACUUAGGUAUUUUCAUCAAAUAUGAUGUGUGUUUUGUGUAUGUUGAAGGUAAAUUAGGUGGGAAGUGGAGAUAGAAUGAUAAAGGAUGAAAUUCUCUAUAUAGUUGAAGUACUGACUAGGCUAAAGCUAAGUUUUAGAAGUGAAGUGAGACUGGUCAUGACGCAUUAUGUGCGACUACAAGUGGUGGUGAAGAGUCAUUCUGUGCACAGUGACUAGCGUCUUGAAUAUUGACAAAACAUGCUCCUAUGGUAACAAAUGAAGACCACGAGUCAUAAUGACUAACUAUGAAUCAUGGUGAGGACUUAUUCUAAAAAUAGACUGAAAAAGUUCUGAAAGUGAAAAACUACAGGAGUGAAGAUGACUUGCAGCAUACGACUCAUUGCAUCACCUAAUGAGACGUGACCAUUGAAAACAUAGAAGGGCUACAACAGUAGGCAACAAGUCAUUUCUAGUCCUAAAGACUCGUUUCCAGAGGAGUGACCACUGCCGACCUAGUUUUCUUAUUUUGUUUUAAUUAUGUUUACUUUAUUGUUUUGGGAUACUAUAAAUUCCCUUGGGUUAUUCUUGUAUUAUGUUACACACUUUGAGAUAUUUUCAAGCACUUUGACAUCUUUGAUAUUCUUGUUCUAUGUUUUUAGUUUCGUAAUUAAUCUAAGAUUUUAGAUUUUAUUCUUUCAGCAUUGUGAAAUUAAUUCUAUACUUUCUUUAUUCCAUGGAUUAUUGCAUAAUCAUGAAUGGCUAAUUUCUUUAGCUAGGGUUGUGGGAACCUGGUAGAUUAACGAAGUAGGGGAAGUGCGAGGAUUGAUUAGAUCAUUGUUGCCACAUGUAUUGUGAUCUUCUUUGUUUUGAUUUCUUCGUUAGCUACUGCAGAAGCUAUGGAAUUGCCUAUAUUUGAGAUCAUCCUCACAAGGGAGUUUAAGAUUGUAAAAAAAAGAGCACAACAGUGGUUCGAGGCUAUCAACCCUCUUCUAAUAGCUUGAUACUCACCAGGUGAAAGGUAAACAGGGGUUUAAGAUAAGGGUUAGUUAGAUGACACCCUUAGACUCUCAAGGUGUAGGGUGAGAUUUACCAUUGAGUCCAUAAGACGGUGAUACAAAUCUUGUUAGGUUAUACAUGCAUAGAAUGUAGAUAGUCGGUCUAAGUACAAGUAACUUAAUGGCCUUAUUAAAAACAAGCAUAAAAUAUCGCUCCCUGUCUCUACAUGUAAGGUAACAACUCAUAGUGACUUGAUAUAAGCCAUCCCCUAGACUCGUACCUUGAGUAGAAC